GAGGUGGUGGAGACUUAUACUUGUAAACCGGAGGUGGUGGGGGUGGAGACUUGUACUUGUAAGGGUGCUUGGGUGGGGAUAGAGGUGGUGGUGGGGGAGACUUGUACUUGUAGGGAUGCUUGGGUGGUGAUGGUGGUGGUGGUGGUGGAGACUUGUACUUGUAAGGAUGCUUUGGAGGUGAUGGUGGUGGUGGUGGAGACUUGUACUUAUAAGGAUGCUUUGGGGGUGAUGGUGGUGGAGGUGGGGACUUGUACUUGUAAGGGUGCUUGGGUGGUGAUGGUGGUGGAGGUGGUGGGGACUUGUACUUGUAAGGGUGCUUGGGUGGUGAUGGCGGUGGAGGUGGUGGAGACUUAUACUUGUAAACUGGAGAUGGUGGGGGUGGAGACUUGUACUUGUAAGGGUGCUUGGGUGGUGAUGGUGGGGGUGGGGGUGGGGGUGGGGACUUGUACUUGUAGGGGUGUUUGGGUGGUGAUGGUGGUGGUGGUGGUGGGGACUUGUACUUGUAAGGAUGCUUGGGUGGUGAUGGUGUUGGAGGUGGAGGAGACUUGUACUUGUAAGGAUGCUUGGGUGGUGAUGGAGGAGGUGGUGGGGACUUAUACUUGUAAACAGGAGUUGGUGGGGGAGGAGAUUUGUACUUGUAAGGCUUCUUGUGUGGUGGUGGUGGUGGUGGAGAGUAGACCGGAGGAGGCGGUGGUGGAGACUUGUAAUGGUAAGGUGGUGGUGGGUACUUCUUAGGAGGUGGUGGAGGAGAAGAAUAAGUGUAAUCUGCUGAGGUUUCAAAAGGCAAAUUGAGAGACACUGCUAAAACUAAAAGAGUGAGAAAGAGAGAGGUCAUUGAUGACCCCAUUUUCCCCAUACUUCUAAAAAUGGGUUUAAUUUGGUUAUGCUCUUAGCAACCCUCUUCACUCCCUUUAUAUAGACUUUUUUUUUAACCUUAUAAUCAUGAUAAAAGUUUGAAGAUGGACCGAACCUUCAGCAGCAUGUAAAAAAGACAUUACGUUUAGGUUAUUAGCAUGGUAUGAUAUAAUAAUUCUCUAUUCUCUUCCUUGUCGUUUCCCAUAAAUUCAAUUUUCUCUAUUAAAUAUUUAUCAAAUUCAUUUCUCACUCCCUAUUAAUUCUUUAAUAAGUUUAUAGAAUAUGAAUAAUUAAUCAUUAAACUCGAUUUAAUAAAUACUUUAAACAAUUAAUAAUUUAUCUUAUUUUAUGCUUUAAUUAAGGCAUCAAAUCAUAAUCCUAUUUUAUAUUUUGAAAAUUUAUCAUUUUUUAAAGAACUUAAUUGAUUAAAAUGUGAUUCUAAUAUUUGGCAGGAAAAAUUAGUUUACUUUCCUUAGAAUGUAAUAUUCUUUUGAGAGUUAUUUUCUUACUAAUAAUAGAAAGUGAUAAUUCGUGAGAAAAUUACUUUCACAUGUAAAUAAAAAUUAUUAGAACAAAAAAUUAACUUUCUUUUAUUUAUGUUUAGGUACUAAUUAACUUAUUGAGAUAAAGAUAGUUGUAGCUUGCUUUUUCAUGUCAUUUUCUUAUCUUUACAACUUCAAACCAUUAUUCUAGAGUAAGUUUUUUUUUUUUUUUCUAAAUAGUAGAUAAAUAUCUAUAUUUUAUUUUGCUAUAAGAAAAUUAUAUUUUUUAGCAUACAAAACUUAAAGACAACUUGUAGAAUCAAGUAAUUCUAUGAAAAGCAAGCCUAUUCACAUAUAAUACCUAUUACUCUAGCAAUAAUAAUAUUGACAUUGUCUAAAUUUUCUAAUAAAAAAAUUAUAUAAUUUGUAUGUGUUAAAAAUGAAAAAUAUGGCGGUUAUUAAAAAAGAUUUCAUACAUCUAAAUGAAACUACUAAUUUAAAAAUUAGUAUUGAGAUAAUUUCAAGUUAAUAUUGAAUAUACUUGAAUUUGUACAUACAAAGUAAUGAGGGUAAAAAUUUUGUAAAUUGUACAUCUUCACAAUCUUGAGUUAAUAUACAAUUUUUUAAUGUAUUAAUAUAAUGUUUUAGAUCAAGAUGUGAAAAAACAUAACUCAAAUAUUUGUUAAUAAUAAAAAAUUAUUAAUAAAUAUUUAAUUCAAAAUUUAUUAAUAAUAAAAAUUAUUGAAAAAUAUUAAAUACGUUAAUAUUAUUUUUAUAUAAUAAUGAUAAUUUUGUACAGUAAUCUUAUAUUCUCAAUAAGUGUUAAAUGUCUCAAGAUUUUAAUUAAUACUUUUCAGUGGUUACCAAACAUUGUGAAAUAACUUCUUGAACAAUGAUAUUCUUAUCAAUCACAUUCCAUUAGAAAUUUAACAUAGGAAAGCACCAAAACAACCGCUUAAAAAUGAAUGUGCAUGAUUAAAAUCGCGAUAAGUCUUGUUUAUCUAAAAUUUAAAUAUUCAUUUUAUUAUUUAAAAUAUAUUAAUUUUCCAAAAACAAUCAUUAAUAUUUAUAUUUCUAAUUUUAAACAUUCUUUUGUUAAUUAAAUGAUAGUGUAAACGGUUAAACUCAAAUCGAAAGCAUUUUAUCUUAUAGUAGAUUAUAUGACUCAUAUUAUGGUUGAAAGUAAAAUGUAUAAAAUCAAUACAAACAUCAAAUAUUAAACUUGCACUCAAUAGAUUUUAAAAUUUCUAAUUUUACCACUAAUCUAUUUUAAGAUUUUUAAAAAAUCGUACUUUAGAUUAUCUAAUUUAAAUUUUAAAAUUAUUAAAAAUAAAAAAAUUCUUAAUAAAAAAAUUUGUUUCAAAUUUUUAACCUUUUAAUAUAAUUGUUUUAACUGGUUAUCUAAACUAAAUAAAAACUUAUUUAGUAUAAAAAAAAGUGGUAAAUGUGAAAGGAGCACAAAUCACAACUACAAUAUGCUACAUUAGUUUUAUAAUUGGAUUAAUUUAAUCACCGGCAGAGGAAAUGUGUUAGUUCUAGCUACCACCAAUUUAUUUUAAUUCCUUUAAAAAUAUUAGAAAAAAUCAAUUUGAUUUUUAAUAAUAGAUCUAAUUACUUAAAGGAACAUCGGUGAUGUCCACAUGGCAUACAAGGUUAAGCAUAUAAAAAAAGAACAAAAAGAUUAAGUAUCUUUGCAAGAUAGCUUUCUGAAAUAAAUAAAACUUAAAUAAAAACAAUUUUAUUAUCAAAAUAAAAAGAAAAAAGAAAAGAAAUACUAGUGUUUUUAAUUAAAAUAGAGUGAUCUGGGUAGAAUCUUUUACUUAAAUACUGACAUUGACUUUAUAAGCUAUUUUUUAUCAAAAGAAGAAAGAGAAAAGCAUCCGAUUGAAGAUGUGAAUUAUUAAAUUAAAAUUAAUCAUACAUGUAAAAUUUUAUUGUGCUUUUUUCUAGCCCUCCGAAUGACAUUAUGCUUUGAUUACAACAUUCUUGCUCAGAGAUCGGGUUUGAAGAUGAACUCGGAUGCAUUUAGAUUUUUACAAGUAAAUUAAAGGAUGUUAGAACUUGUAUUCCGAUAAACUUAUAAUACAGAAAGCAAGUAAUAUGUGACUGUACAUAAUGGCUAUGAGGCGAGGAUAUGAUAUGAGAAGAUAGAGAUGAGAGAUUGCACUUAAGGGGUUAACACCACUUUCCUUUUUGUGUUUGGUCCCCAAAGCAUCUCUUAUUGGCUGAUGUUGCAAGGCCGUCCCAUAAGUUGGUCUAAAAGUGCUUGAUAGCUAGAAUUAAUAUUGUGGUAUAACAUAUGUCACCACUAGGUUUGAAUAAGGUUACACAGUGAUUUGAUGAAGAUUUAAAAAAGCAUAGAGAUAAUUAUGUUGCAAAUAUUGUAAAAGUAAGAGCUAAAUUGUUUGGCUUUAUUAGAGUUUAGACUCUGUUAGUCUAUUACCAUUCUCUAUUAGUCUGUUACCAUUUUGUUAUAUAGGCUGUAAUAUUGUUAGAAAGCAGUUAGCAGCUGUUAGUCAUAGUAGUUAGUCAUACAAAUAUAAAUUCUAUUCAUGUAUUGUUCAAAGGUAAGCUAAUAAUAUCAGAAGCGAUUUAAUGUAUUCAUUCUACUUUUUUUUUAUUCUUCAUAAUACAGUUGUUAACAUGGUAUCAGUACCCUAAUUUCUUAGAGGUCGCUUCUAUUGUAGAUCCAUGGCCAAUUCCACUGAUUCUACCUCCACUGGUCGUAGCAGUCCCUCGUUCUCGAUUCAUGUUUGGUUCAAUCGUUUCCUCGUCGUCACACUGAGAAGUUAGAUGAAAGAAAUGUUAUGCAAUGCCAACAGCAUAUCCUAUUGAUAAUUGAAGGGUAUGAACUCAUAAGAUUUUUAGAAGGGACGUUACCUACUCCGCCUCGCUUUGUGUCAUCUCCCGAUGGAACCUUGGCUUCGGCUCCCGAUGCAUUCCUGUUUGUUCAGCAAGAUAAGUUACUCGCUCUUUGGUUGCUUUCUACGAUUAGUGCUCCUUUGUUGUCCUCUUUUAUAGCUGCUAAGACACCGUGUGAGGUUUGGAGCACUGUGAAUCACCUCUUUACUGUUUCCACCAGAGCGAAGUUAUCGCGUAUUAAGCAUGAACUCCACUCCAUCAAGAAAGGCAUGAUGACUGUCAAAGAGUAUAUUAUUAAGAUUCAAAAUACCUGCACCUUACUCGAGGCAUCUGGAUUGGUGGUUUCGAAGGCCGAGAAGGUAGAGAUCAUUCUUGCUGGCCUAUCGUCAGAUUAUGAUGUCGUUUUAACACUACCAUAGUUCUCUUCUGAAACUCUUCCGUUACAGAAGAUAGUUGUUGUGCUACUGAAGUUCGAAAGCCGUCAGACUCAUGUCGUGAAUGACAUACCUUUUCAUGCUCAUCUGGUAGAGGCCACUUCGGCGACAUCGGUGGAGGACUCCGUACAUGGUAGCCAUCCUCCUCCUGGUGCUCGUGGGCAUGACUUUCGACUCGGCUUCAGUUCCAGAUCUAUGGUUGCUAUGGACAUCUGGCACAACGCUGUUAUUAUCAUUUCAACCGCGAAUACAGUGGUCUAUCUGCUCUGACCAUGGCGCAGGCUUCGCUUUUGUGCUGGGCACUAUUCGUGUGACAAUGUUUUUGGUGCAACUGGUCUCUUGACCGGCUGGUUUCCAUCAGCUCAUCCUAGUUCAAACCCCUUCGAUGUGCCUGGACAGUGUGCCGAUUCUUCGGUGACGGUACCGGCGCAUUUCCCUUAUGGCUCCUCUUGGGGAGGAUGGCCACAUUUGUAAAACAAUGCCUCCCUUGUGCCAAGUCUACCGAAUGUUAGGGUUUCUAACCUUUUUGCUCCUAAUUUUAACAAUGAGGCAAGCUAAGUGUUUGGGCCCGCUGUUGAACCAGGCUCAAAUAGUGACCAAUCUGGUGGUCCUCACUUGCCGCUGAAGAUGGGCUAACGCAUUGGGCCAUUCGCUGGUGUUCCUAGGCCAACUGCUUCAGGCCAAGAUUUUGGCCUAAAUGGAAUUGGUAGGCCAGCCAGUGCUCGUCCUAGCAUUGGAUAGGGUUCACUUGGGUCAAAUGUCAAUUUUAUUGGACUUGAGGGUUCUUUUGGGUAUAGACAAGAGUUUGGGCCCACCACUGGCAAUGUUUCAGUGCCAAUUAAUAGAUCAUGUGUUCCAUGGCACACAAAAUCGAGGGCACGCGUUAUUGAUUUUGAUUCUUCGCUGUGCGUUGGGUUGCAUCGCUUUACUAAUUUUCACGCAUCCGAUUUUUUUACUACCACUGGGUCUAAUGCCAAUACAACUCCAUAUAGGUCUAAUUUUGAUAAUGGUAAUUCUUACAUUCCUAUGCCUAUAGGGACCUCAUCAUGGUGUCUUGAUUUAGGGGCUACGCAUCAUGUCUGUUGAGAAGUCUCUGCCUUGAAUAAGUCUACGCCAUACUCAAGUACAUCUCCUUUCUUCACGGAUGAUGGUAUUCCUACAAAAAUAUCGUAUGUUCGGAAUCUUAUCUUGUCUAUGAAAACCAAAUUGCUUCAUUUGUCUAAUGUUUUGUGUGUGCCAAAUAUACGGAAGAAUUUGCUAUUUGUUUCUCAGUUUGCUAAUGACAAUAACGUGUUCUUUAAAUAUCACCUGUCUUAUUGUGUUAUUAAAGACAUCCAGACUCAUGAAAUUUUACUACGGGGCUACACUCGUGAUGGGCUCUAUUAUUUUUCGUCGGUUACUCUUGCUCUGUUUGUCGUUGUUCCUUUUUUCAUAGCACUGGGAUCUAGAGUCGCAAUGCAUAUGAUGAUUGUUUUGCAUUAUGGCAUCACAGGCAUAGUCAUUUGUCUGCCUCGAUUGUUAAACUUGUUCUCGAUAAGUGUCAAGUUGUUUCAAAAUAAAAUGUGCCUUGAAAAUAUUUGUAUUGCAUGUCAAAACGGGAAGUCUCACAAACUGCCUUUUUCAAGUUCUACUACUGAAUAUACAAAUUUGUUUGAUUUGGUUGUCUCUAACUUAUGGGGACCAACGUCUGUUGUCUGUAGAAAUAAUUUAUAUUAUGUUUUGUUUAUCGAGAUGUGUAGUUGAUAAACCGUAAUUUAUACAUAUUUUUAUCCUAUGUUUGGCACAUUUAUAGAUGAUUUAUCCUUAGAUUUGGUGAAUUCGAUGCUCCUAAUCCUUUAAUUUCAUAUUUUAUACUUAGGAGAGCAUAGGAGGGCAAAAAGAGCGAGAAACGGGCCGAAAACGGAAAAAAUAGACCCACAUGGGAAAUCAACAUGGCCUGGACUUCCUCACACUGGUAAGCCACACGGCCGUGUCCAUUUGGCAGGAUCGAAGCAAGACUUACACGAGUAGACUACACGCCCGUGCCUUUUUAAUAGCCUUGACCACUGUCUGGAGCAAUCGCGCACGGGCAUGUCCCUGUCGAGCCCAAGUAUAGUCUUAUUCGGAAAAGGUCUAUUUUAAGGGCUCUUAGGCAUUCUAAAGCUUAUUUAAUCACCUGAGAAGGCACUUAAAAGGGGGGACACGGAGUAGGAAGCAAGGAAUUACUCGAAGAAAGCCGAUUGAUCCAUCUCAGAAGCCUGAUUAUUCAUCAAGACUGAAAAUCUCCCUUCAAUUACCAUUCAGGAGUUUUGGGUUUUCUUUAUGUUUUGUAUUCAUUAUUCUUCUGAGAUGUUUUCUUUUAUAAUUAUGAUUUAAACCCUCUAAAUACCUAAGGGGAAUGAAACCUAAACGGAUCUUGUUAUUAUUAUCUGAAUUAUAUGAUAAAUAUUUGACUUGUUUUUAAUUAUAUGUUCUUAAUUCUUGUCUUAAUAUUCCAGGAUAUUGAUUCAAGUUAAUGCGCUUAUUCAGAGGAGCAAAAGUCCCUGUCUAAGAGUAAAUUUGUCAUAAUUAAACAGAGUUGAUUGCACACCUAAAGAUAGGGUAACAAGAUUUUGCCGAAUUAGGGUGAAACCUAAUAAGGAGAUCCAUAGAUCGAGUUAAUGCAACACUAGGGCGUUAAAUAGAAAGAGAUUUCAAUUAAUCAACCUAGGGUUAGAUGUUAUUAGUCUUGAGAGAGAUAAUAAUAUAACUUAGGGAUUUGUACGGAUCAUGUCAAAUGGAUAAAUCGACUGAUUCAGAGUCAAAUAACAAGUGAAGUCUAGGUGGAUUUUUCCUUGGGUAUUGUCCUAAUCAAGCGAAUUUUCUAAAAGUAUUUUCCCCAAUUUUUCAAGCGAAUUUUCUAAAAGUAUUUUCCCCAAUUUUCUUUCUCUGCACCCUUAGUUUAGUUAAUUAGUUUUAAUAAACAAAUCCUUUAAUUUUUAGGUUAGAUAAUAAAAAGAAAGUGAUUACUAGUACUCUUGGUUCCUUUGGGUUCGACAAUUCGGUCUUGCUAAAGCUAUAUUACUGUUCGAUAGGUACACUUGUCUUUAUCGUGAUAAUAGUUGGUUUCAAUAACGAUCAUUUCUAAAUUAUUUAAAACUUAUCGCAAGUAUCAUGAAUCAAGUUUUUGGCGCCGUUUCCGGGGAACUAAGAUAUUAGGAACACUUGAUUUUUAUUACUUUAGCCAUUUUUCUUUAUUUUUACUUUAAAUUUUUAUUUUCUUUUCUAAUUUUUCUUUUAUUUGUUCCUGACAGGUUUUUAUAGUUUAUGAUUAGAAGAAACCCGUCGGGACCAUUACUGUUUGAUAGUGAGAUCGAUCGCACAGUUCACAGAAACCAAAGAAAAAUAAGACGAAGCUUAAGAUACAAAAAGGAAGAGUAAGACGACGAUACUUCAACCACAAUCGAGAAGAUGGCUGAAAACCAGGAAAAUUUGCUACCUCCUGUGAUUUCUGCUGAUCCAGUAAAUCAGAAUCCUACUCCACGCACUAAGUAUGAUUAUGCUAAACCUACUUUAACAGGAACUGAGUCAAGUAUAGUUAGGCCUGCUAUUGCUGCGAAUAAUUUUGAACUGAAACCUAACACAAUUGAAAUGAUACAGCAAUUUGUUCAGUUUGAUGGUUUGCAGGAUGAGGAUCCAAACAACCACUUGGAAAAUUUUCUAGAGUUUUGCGAUACAUUUAAAAUCAAUGGCGUUUCUACUGAUGCCAUUCGCCUUCAGUUAUUCCCUUUUUCAUUGAGGAACAAAGCUAAACAGUGGUUGAACUCGUUACCACAAGGGUCAAUCACUGCUUGGGAACAAAUGACCGAAAAAUUUUUAUUAAAAUAUUUUUCGUCGACUAAAACAGCCAAAUUACGUAAUGAUAUCUCUUCAUUUAUGCAAAUGAAUAUAGAAACACUCUAUGAUGCAUGGGAGAGAUACAAGGACCUUUUAAGAAGAUGUCCUCACCAUGGGUUACCACUCUGGCUACAGGUUCAAACGUUUCACAAUGGCCUGAAUCCUUCGACUAGACAGAUGAUUGACGCAGCUGUUGGAGGAACUAUCAAUAAUAAGACACCUGAGGAUGCUUAUGAAUUUAUAGAAGAGAUGUCACUAAAUAAUUAUCAAUAGCAAGUCAUGAGGACAAAACCGAUGAAAGCAACCGGGGUUUUUAAUGUUGAUUCGGUCACCAUACUUUCUAAUCAGGUAGAACUUUUGAAUAGAAAAAUUAACAGUUUUUUUGGUUCUUCACAGGUUCACCCAGUAAUGCAAUGCAAUGCAAGUGGGGGAGAAUUGAGCAAUUCAGAAUGCCCACCCUAUGGCCACAACAUGAAAAACAAGCAAUUAAAUUAUAUGGAUAAUAAUCCUCGACCUCAAAAUAAUCCUUAUAGUAACACUUACAAUACAGGAUGGAGGAACCACCCAAAUUUCUCAUGGGGAGGCCAAGGGAAUCAGAGACCACCACCAUUUCCAGGUUUCUAACAGCAACCUUACCAGCAAAAUAAAAAUUUGAACCUUGAGGAAAUGCUAACAAAAUUCAUCUUGGUGUCAGAAACUCGUUUCCAGAAUACCGAGACAGCACUUAAAAAUCAACAAGCGUCGAUCCAAGGGCUCGAAACUCAGAUAGGCCAGCUCGCUAAAUUGAUAUCUGAAUGAACACAAGGUAGCCUACUGAGUAACACUGAAUCUAACCCAAGGGAGCAACUCAAUGCGAUUGCCAUUCAAGAUGAGGAAGGGUUAGUUACAUCUAAACCAGAACCGAGGCAAGAAACUGUGGUAAGUAAAGGUAAAGGUAAGGUAAACCACAUCGAGCAGAAACCGGUAAGUAAAGAGUACAAACCACGAGUGUCAUACCCAAAUGCGACAAAGAAAGACCAUACAGAUGAACAAUUUUGUAAACUCCUUAAACUAUUAAAGAAAUUACACAUUAACUUACCGUUUAUUGAAGCCCUUUCGUAGAUGCCGAACGCAGUCAAGUUUUUAAAGGAGCUUUUAGGAAACAAGUGAAAGUUGGAUGAAGCGUCGCAUGUGGAGUUGAACGUAGCUUGCUCAGCUAUUCUACAAAAUAAGCUACCCAACAAAUUAAAAGAUCCAGAGAGUUUUACAAUUCCUUGCUUAAUUGGUAGCUUAGAUGUUAAUAAUACUUUGGCUGAUUUAGGGGCUAGCAUCAAUGUCAUGCCUUACAAAAUGUUUAAGUAACUAGGUCUUGAGAAACCCAAACAAACUAAGAUGAGUAUUCAAUUAACCGAUGAAACAAUUAGAUUUCCUAGGGUUAUUAUUGAAGAUGUACUCAUUAAAAUUGACAAAUUUAUAUUCCCAGUUGAUUUCGUUGUUCUAGACAUAGAGGAGGAUAGUAACGUUCCUUUAAUUUUAGGGAGCCCUUUUUAGCAACUGUUAGAACAAUAAUUGAUGUUGGCACAGGUGAACUCACACUUCGUGUGGGAGACGAAACAAUCACCCUUUAAGCUCGUAAUUCAAGUAACACAUCAAAAAUUGAAGGUGGUUGUAUAAAUCAUACUAUUAAAACUGAUCAUUUGGUGAAACCUUCCUGGCAGGAAACACGUUCAAAGAACACACCUGAGCCAUGUUCGAGUAACGACAAAAGACCUAUCUAUGAAGAAUGAAGGCUACAACUUGAGGAACUAGAUGAAUAGCUGACACAUAAACCGAGGACACACGAUAAACCAAAACCAUGCCAUGACGAGCUCAAUAUUUCACCAAAUCAACUUAAGGUUGGAGACAAAGUACUACUAGAUGCGGUAGACCCUCGUAUUGCUACGUCUGAACCUAACGGAGCAAUCCCUCUUACAGUACUCAACAUUUUCCCAUAUGGUACAGUCGAGGUUAUUCAUCCCAAACUCGGCACUUUUAAGGUAAACAGUACUCGUCUUAAACCUUAUUUUGAUAAAAUUGAUAGCAGGGAUGAGGAGUGUGAACUCCUCACAUCACAAUGACCAUGCAACAGAAAGGUAAGUCGAGCUUAGACUAUAAAUAAGCGUUUUUCGGGAGGCAACCCGAGCAUUAAUGAUGUUAACUUUUUUAAAAUUUUAGUUUUUUACAUCUAAUCACUAACUGAGUCAGUGAAACACAGGUUUUCUAAUCUACACGGCCAAGCACACGGACAUGCCUUAGGCCGUGCUCACACCAUGGGAGGAGACACAGCCGUGCGAUACUGCCGUGUGAAAACAGGGUAAAAUUUUUCCUUAACACGGGAUGUGAUAAGUUGCCACGGCCGUGCGAUGUAGCCGUGGGCGAGUCUUUCAAACCAACACAGGCGUGUGACACACCCGUGUCUAUAAACCAUGGUUGAAACUGAGAAUUUAGCACGAGCAUGUCCUAUCAACCGUGCUCAAGACUGAAAAAAGAACACGGGCGUGGACAUCUAUACACGGGCAUUGGAGAAGAGAAUGAAACAGAACAUGGUCGUGUGACACAGACGUGUGCACCAACACGCCCAAAGAGCACGGGCGUGUGAAGAAUUUCAGACACGCCCAAAUUUGAAAAUUACGAUAAACACGAGCUGAAAUAAGGGCACAUGGGGGUGCCCCACGACCGUGUGCCCCAAAAUCUAUAUAAACCCCUUACUAUUCAUCACCCCCUUCCCCAAAAUCUCUAACCCUAGCCGCUGCAACUUCACAUGCCCUACCUGCCACGCCCGUGCACCGUCCACAGCACCACCUUUGACAACCCAAAGCUCCUCCCUCUUACGUUUGUACAUUUUUUUCCUUCUAUUCUCUUCAUUCUUUUACUUAUUUGAUGAUAUUUUAUUUUAUUUUGAGUAAAUAAUCAUAGUUAUAAUGAUAGAAUACUUAUGCUCUUUGUUAAGAAAUUUACCAUUUUAAUUGAUAUAUUUUGCUGCAUUUAUCCACUUUUCUUGUUUCCAUAGAUUUCAUGCUUACCCACACCAUAUUUCAUACUUAUUAAACCCACAUGCAUUCAUUCAAUAGAUAUUUCCAUUAGCAUUACUCUCGUAGUCCUAUUCAUAGUAAUGACUUAAUAUAUCUGAUUGGGUUAUUUUUAGUAUAGUUGUUCUUUAGUACAUGACUUCUAUGAAGUAUCUCUAUUAGUUUUACCAUGCAUAUUUUCUAUGCUAUUGCUGGGGAGUAAUUUUAUUUUUUAUUUUUUCUUGCCAUUGUAGGUAUACUAUCUCAACCUUACGUGGUAAGGAGACCGCCAUCCCCUCUUCGAAGAAAAGGAAAGGAGCAACGUCAUCCUCAGGUCCUACCGCUGAGAUCCGUUACCCUUUCCUCCAGUUUCCCUUUGGACCCCAGGAGGAACUAUUUCAGAUAUUACGGGUCCGACCCUUAGGUGUAGGCCACUGCAUUGACUGGGCUGCACUUAAAAAAAUUCAAAUGGCUGACGUGGUCCAAGCCCUCCUGACGACUACCCGUGGAGGCUUUUCUUUGAGAUCAUCGAGCCGAUGUACCACGAGCUCACAAUGGAACUCUACUCGACCUUCCAUCUUCAAGUCGCCAUGAUAAACUGCGACGAUCCUAGAACGGUCCAAUUCCACCUCAGUGGUCUAGUGCGCCAGUUGAGCGUACCGAAGUUCAGAAUUGCACUAGGGCUGUAUAUGGAAGAGUUCAUGGAUGACAACGAACUUGACACCCUCUAUUGCCACAUCCACUACUCUCUCUCCAAAUGCUGGAAGGACUUUGUCCCUGCCUCGGCCACCUAUGAUCCUAACUACUCUAAGGCAUCAGCCCUCACCCCAUCCCUGUGAUACCUACACGCCAUCUUAGCCCACACUCUGACAGGGCGGCGAGAGAGCACCGGCAUCAUCAACACUCACGACGCCUACUUUUUAUAGAGCAUGGCAAACGGGCACGUCUUCGACCUUGCCUAUUUCAUUGCUCUCGCCAUCCGCCAUCAGACGGAGCGGCAUAGGAGAGGAGUUAUCACCAUUAGCCACUAUGUGACUCGACUGGCACGGCACUUCGGGCUCCUCAACACAGCAGCAUAAUCAUCCUCACUCACUCUCAUUGGUCAUAUGUCCCCUCAAGGCAUCUCGAGUAUGCUACAUAUGAGGAUGCUCGAGAAACGACGUGGAACUUACCCUCCUCAGUACCGCCUCGUCCAGUCCACUAAAGAGGAGAACCCAUAAGACAUUACUGAUGAUGUCCCUCCACGUCAUGAGGACCCACCGUCUCAACCAUCACCCAUCCAUCGUCCAGUUCAUGCGGUGGCUUCAUACUCUGAUAUCUCUAAGCACCUUACUCGAUUUAAGCAGCAGUGUUUUCAGUGCUUUGAUCACAUUGAUGCUACUCUUCAUCAGAUUUGUCAGCACCUUCACAUCUCAUCGCCACCACCACCUCGCGAACCAUCCGGCGAUGCUGAUGUUUAAAGACUUUUUAUUUUUUAUUUUUAUUUCCACUUUUAUCUUUAUUUAUCUUCUUUAAGUAGUUUUUAUUUUAUUUUCCUUUAAUAUUAUUUCAAUUUUAGGUUUUAUAAUUUUUAUUGAAUAAUUUAUAGUUUUGGCUAUUUUAUUACGAGUAAUUAUGCUUCCUUAUAUUUCCUAAAGAGUUCUUGAUUUUAUCACAGUUAUAAAGAGCUCUAAAGCUCAUCAUCACUUAGGAACUAAAAAAUCACUGGAAAAGGUUCUCCACAACUGUCAAGUCCUGCUCGACCACGACCACAGCUACUACCAGAUAUAAUAUUCUGUUGGCGCAGGACUUAUGGACUAAUGAACCUCUACCACCACCGGAGUAUCCUCCUCCACUCUCAUCAUUGCCUUGGCUGAUUAUUCUCCAUAACUCCAAUUGAAGGAGUUCAUUCAUCAUUCAGGAAGUUUAACUUCUCUUCUUAUCUUAUGAGUAUUUAUCUAUAUUUUUCAGUAUAUCUAUCUUUGUACAUUGAGGGCAAUAUACAUCUUAAGUGUAGAGGGUCUUUUAUAUCAUUAUCAGAAAAAUCCCUGAAUUUUAUCUUGUUCUCAAAUCAUCUUCUCAUAUCAUUAUUAGAAUAAAAUUUGAUUAAUUUAUGAUUGUUAUUGAUAUGUCUUCAAUUAAAACAUAGGCAUUCAUGUAUUGAUUGUUUAAACUUUAAGGAAUUAGAUAAUCAAGCAGGAUAAGUUGAUUUUUGAGAAUUAAAAAUUUUUAGGUUGUUUCCCCAAGUUUAGGUAUUAUCUCGAGUUAAAAUUCACAGGGUUAACAUCAACAAGCCAUAAUUUCUGUAAGAUCUUGAGCCUUUAGAGCAACUAUUAUUUCUUUCAUGCUCACUGUUAUUAUUGAUAAUGAGUGUGUCAAUAUUGAUUUAUUAUUCUAGAACUUGCUUGAUUAUGCAUGUCAAGACCACACCCUUGAGUUAAUAUGUCAAUAUGAUAAAGGCACCUAGGUUUAACCCACUCACUCCAUAAAAGCAUACCUUCAUAAUUUACCCUUAGUGAACCCCUUUGAGCCUAACAAGCCAUUAAUUGAUUUACCCUCAAUGUUAACCCAUAACACAUUAUUGUUGAAAUCCCCUAAUUUGAUCCCUAUUUUUGUCGAGAUUUGAUUUGAAUUAUUGCAUAGCUAUGUUUUAUUCUUCGUUGCAAUAAUUAGCAAAGUCCUAUGUUAUUUCACUUGUUUAUUUCACUUGUUCCUAAAAAAAAAUACAAUACUUACUUACAUAUUAAUAGUAAUUCGUCAUUUUUGAGCUUAAGUGUUAAUUCCAUAUUCUAAGAAGAAGCUCACUCGUAUUCAACUUAUAAUUAGUUGUUUUUCUAGUUAGGUGAUUUUUUUAAUUCAAUCUCGAUUCUAACCUUUCCUUUUAGCUUGUGACCACACCCCCUAACCAAAGCCACGUUACAACCCUCUAAAGACCUUUUGAUUGAUGUAUCAUCUCAAUAUAUAGUGGUGGAGAUUUGAUUUUCUGCAAGCCUAUGGUAAUAACUUUUCAUAUUGACUAAUGAGUGCUUCAUUUAUUAUCCUUAAACACCUCGAGUGAUUUGAGUGAAUCUUUAGUGAGGAUGUUAAACUCCGUGAUAUUUUGAAUCAAAGGUAAUCACUUAGAUGAGGGGAGACACCUAUGUUUUCGUGAUGAAAUGCUCAACUUGGAAUGUUUGAAACUUUGAUAUUCUUCUAGUUGAAUUCUCCAUGUAUGAUUACUUAUGAUUUAUUUUAAGAUAUUAUUGAUAGAGAUUAUAGAUUGAGAAGAAUUUAUUUUGAUUGUGAGUUGAGGAUUUUGCUUGAGGACAAGCAAACGCUUAAGUGUGAGAGUUUUUGAUAAACCGCAAUUUAUACAUAUUUUUAUCCCAUGCUUAGCACAUUUAUAUAUGAUUUCUCCUUAGAUUUGGUGAAUUUGAUGCACCAAAUCCUUUAAUUUCAUGUUUUAUACUUAGGUGACCAUAGCAGAGUAAAAAGAGCGAGAAACAGGUCGACAACGGAGAAAAAUAGACCCACAUGGGAAAUCGACACGGCCUGGACUUCCUCACACGGGUAAGCCACACGGCCAUGUCCAUUUGGCAGGAUCGGCGUACAAUUUACACAGGUAGACUACAUGCCCACGAUUAUUUAGCAACCUUCACCACGGUUUGGAGCAAUCGCACACGGGCGUGUCACACAGGCGUGUCCCUGUCGAGCCCAAGUAAAGUCCUAUUCGAAAAAGGCCACUUUUGAUGGCUCUUAGGCAUUCUAAAGCCUAUUUAAACACCUGAGGAGGCAGUUAGAACGGGGGGACACAGAGUAGGAAGCAAUGAAUUACUCGAAAAAAGCCGAUUGAUCCAUCUCAGAAGCUGGAUUAUUCAUCAAGACUGAAGAUCUCUCUUCAAUUUCCAUUCAAGAGUUUUGGGUUUUCUUUAUGUUUUGUAUUCAUUAUUCUUCUAAGGGGAAUGAAACUUAAGACGAAUCUUGUUAUUAUUAUCUAAAUUAUAAGAUAAAUAUUUGACUUGUUCUUAAUUAUGUAUUCUUAAUUCUUGUCUUAAUAUUUCAGGAUAUUGAUUCAGGUUAAUGCGCUUAUUCAGAGGAGCAAAAGUCCCUGUCUAAGAGUAAAUUUGUCAUAAUUAAGUGGAGUUGAUUGCACGCCUAGAGAUAGGGUGACAAGAUUUUACCAGAUUAUGGUGAAACCUAAUAAGGGAUCCAUAGAUCGAGUAAAUGCAACACUAGGGCGUUAAUUACAAAGAGAUUUCAAUUAAUCAACCUAGGGUUAGAUGUUAUUAGUCUCGAGAGAGAUAAUAAUAUAACUUAGGGAUUUCUACGAAUCAAGUUAAAUGAACAAAUCGCCUGAUUCAGAGUCAAAUAACAAGUGAAUCUAGGUGGAUUUUUCCUUGGGUAUUGUCUUUAUUAAUCGAAUUUUCUAAAAAGUAUUUUCCCAAUUUUUAGGCUAGAUAAUAAAAAGAAAGUAAUUACUAGUACUCUUGGUUCCUUUGGGUUCGACAAUUCGGUCUUGUUAAAGCUAUACUACUGUUCGAUAGGUACACUUGCCUUCAUCGUGAUAAUAGUUGGUUUUAAGAACGAUCAUUUAUAAAUUAUUUAAAACUUAUCGCAAAUAUCAUAAAUCAGUAGUCGUUUUACAUGGAUUUAUCUCAUUAAAUGAAUGUCUCAGAUGGUUGACUAUUUUUUUCAGUUUCAAAAAAUGGUCAAAACUCAGUUUGGGAAAGAUAUUAAAAAUUUUCAAAGUGAUUGGGGUGGUGAGUUUCGUGCCUUCGCAUCAACUCUUGCUAUUCAUGGGAUACUUCAUCACCUCUCCCGUCCACAUACAUCCGAGCAGAACGGUAUAGCCAAACCAAAACAUCAAGACAUUGUUGAGAUAGGUCUUACUCUCUUGACCCAAGCUAAUAUGCCCAUGGAUUUCUGGGGUUACGUGUUUUGCAGUGUCGUUUAUCUCAUUAAUCGUCCACCUACCUUGGUUUUGAAAGGUCAAUCUCCGUAUUAAGUUCUUCAUGGUAGUGACCCUACAUAUGAUCAUUUACGGGUGUUUGGGUGUUAUUUCUUUCCAUACUUGCGUCUGUUUCUGCAACAGAACUUGGAUUUUUGUUCUCAGCCUUGCACAUUUUUAGGGUAUAGUUCUCAACAUAAAGGCUAUCACUGCCUCACACCAGAUGGUAAGGCCAUUGUCUCUUAUCAUGUUGUGUUUGAUGAACGUCGAUUUCUCUUUUUUUUUAUGUUGCAAACACCGUCCAGUCAGGUCCAUGUAUCUCUACAUAUGUUCCUAUUGCUCAGUCUUCAUCUGCCGCGCCACGGCAUCCUCGCUUGUUCAGCCCAUUAAGUCCUCUUGACUCUUACUCCUAAUUGUAGUUCCAAGACGUCUAUUUCAGUUGACUCUCCGACUGAAUUGGGUUCUACUCAUGAGGUGCACCGGCUCUUCACCUCAUCUCCUGAAUCACGUCAAUGCGACUCUACUACAAUUCCCUCGGUUAUUCCAUCUAUUUUUCUAGAGAAUACUCAUAACAUGAUUACUCGGUCUAAGGCUAGUAUUUCUAAACCCAAAGCUUUCUCUGUUGAAACUGUCGACUAUGAGCCACACACGAUUGAUGAGGCACUCGCUAGUAAGGAAUGGCAAUUAGUUGUCCAAGCUGAGUUUGUUGCUCUAAUGGCUAACUCUACCUGGGAGCUUGUUCCCUUACUUCAUUGUCGAAAAGUGAUUGGGUGUAAGUGGCUUUUUAAAAUAAAAAAAAUCCUGAUGGGGCUAUCACUUGGCACAAGGCUCAGCUGGUAGCAAUGGGUUGUUCUUAGGUACCUGGGUGUGAUUUCAAAGAAACCUUUAGUCUAAUGGUUACACCUACUACUAUUAGAAAAAUAUUGUCUAUUUCUGUUUCCAAUGGGUGAAAACUUCGUCAAAUCGAUGUGAAUAAUACCUUUUAAGAUGGUGAUCUCACUGACGAAGUGUUUAUGCAACAACCUUCAGGCUAUGUUCAGAUUGGUCCAUAUCGUGAGCUAUUGGUGUGUCGUCUGAAAAAGGAGUUGUAUGGAUUACGACAAGCUCCACGUGCCUGGUUUGAUAAAUUGAAACAUUUUUUCUACCAGAUUUGUGUUAUCCAAAUCUGAUGCAUCCCUGUUUGUUCGAGUUACGUACGUAUCCACUAUUUAUGUUCUAAUCUAUGUGGAUGAUAUUACCGUUACUGAAAGUACGACUGACGGUAUAAAUGACUUUAUUCAACAGUUACAUAAUAAGUUUUCCCUUAAAGAUAUGGGAGAUCUUCACUACUUCUUAGGUAUUCAAGUCACUCGGUCAUCCACUAGAAGUCUUCAUUUGUGCCAACGCAAAUACAUCUAGGAUCUGCUUGACAGGAGUUCCUGGGCUAACGUGAAAAGUGUUCACACACUGAUGGUUAGUUCUUUUACAUUGUCUAAAGAUGAGAAAAAUCACCUCGUUGAUCCCACUAAAUAUAGGAGCCUUGCCGGAGCAUUACAAUAUGUGGUCUUAACUCGGCCUAAUAUUGCUUAUGCGGUAAAUCGUGUUUGUCAAUUCAUGCAUAUGCCUACUACGGUACAUUUGGUGGCUUUGAAAAUAAUCUUGCGCUAUUUACGUGGCACUAUUGAUCAUGGGUUAAUUUUUCGUCCGUUCGACAGAUUGUCUUUAGUUGGCUAUGCUGAUUCCAACUGGGGACUGGAUUUUGAUGAUCGUCAGUCAACCAUAGACUAUUGUGUGUAUUUUGGACAUACAUCCAUCUUUUUGUGUUCUAUGAACCAACAAGUUAUUUUUCACUCCACGGCUGAUGCGAAGUAUCGUAGUCUAGCAGUAGCUACCAGUGAUGUUACUUGGUUAGCCUCUCUGUUAACGAAUUUAAAAAUUUGUUCUGCAAAUCCACUUACUAUUUGGUGUGACAAAUCUAGUGCAAUAGUGGUUGCUGCUAAUCCGGUUUUACACUCCAAAUUUAAACAUGGCGAGCUUGAUCUAUUUUUUGUUCGCGAAAAUGUCACUAAUGGUUCUCUCAUUGUUGGCGAAGUUCCGGCAUGUGAUCAGGUUGCUAGUAUUCUCACAAAACCAUUGUCCAUCUCUACUUUUGCUAGGUUUCAUAGUCUGCCUCAAGUCUUACCUCUUGAGAAGCUGGAUGAAGCCGGGUGAAUAUUAGAGUAUAGACUCUAUUAGUCUGUUACCAUUUUGUUAUACAGGCUAGAAUAUUGUUAGUAACCAGUUAGCAGCAAUUAGUCAUAGCAGUUAGUCAUACAAGUAUAAAUUCUAUUUAUGUAUAGUUCAAAGGUAAGCUAAUAAUACCAGAAGAGAUUUAACGUGUUCAUUCUACUUUCUUUGUUAUUCUUCAUAAUACAGUUGUUAACAGGCUUGAUAUCAUCUCUUAGAGAAAACUAGGAGAGAUAAGAGUAAGAGUAUGAGCAAACUAUGGAUAAGGCUCUACCAUAAUACCUUAGAUGCAGUUAAAGUAAGAGUAAGAGCCAACUUGUUUGGCUUGAUAGCAUCCCCUUAUAGAAAAAGCUCUACCGCAUGGCAUUAGAGCAAUAAAAGUAACACUUAAUUUCUUGGUUGAUAGCAUCUCGUAGGGGAAAAAGGUUUACCAUGUGACAUGAAAGUAAUUAAAGUAAGAUUAAGAGCUAACUUGUUUGUCUUAAUCGCAUUGUUUAAGAGAGAUCCAAAUAAAUUUACUCAAAAUAUGUUAAUCAAAUAAUGCAAAUUACAAUGUUUUGUCAAUUUUUCCUUUAAUUGUAACUGGGUUAAAGUUGGUAGUUGUAACUGGUACUAAUAGAAUAGAUUUGGUAGAAAUGGUUGAAAGCAACAUAAGCAAAGAUGACUUUGAUGUCAUUGUAUUGACCACGUGGGAACUAUAGAAUGUAGAGAAUAGUAUGGUGAUUGGCAUCAGAAUGUUGCUAACUUUGAGGACAGUAGAUAAGGAUGGAUCCAAAGGGGCUGUGGGCGGCCCCCUUGAAAUUUUCAAAUUUUUGAAUUUAUAUAUAAAUUAUCAUGUAUUUUAGAUUUGGUGUCCACAUUGUAUAACAUUCACCCCCUUUGCCAAAUUGUAUUUCAUAUCAUUCGCCCCCUUAAACCAUAAGGUUAUACUUUAUAUUAACAAAGUAUUUUCCAUUUUUUUUAAUUAUAUAAAUUUAAUAAUAACAAUAAUAAUAAAAUAUUAAUGUAUGAUAGGCAUUGAAAGACUAAACUUAUAGGUCCAAUUUGGACUUUAAAGCCAAAUUCUAUAAUUAAUUAAUUGAUUUGGCUCAUACCUAUACAUAUUAGGUUAGCGACUUUCUUGUAUUUUGAUUUGUAUGUCUUCUUAAGGAAUUAUCUUCCUUUGGUAAAGUGUUGACACUACCAAGAGAAAAAGAAAGGAUUUUGAUGACGAGACUAAGAGUAUAGAGCAAAAAUAUACAAAUUAUCUUCCUCUUGGCUCCUUAUGCAAAAAACCUCUCGGUAAAUUUUUUGCAUAAAUUAUGUUCUUUAUUUAUUUGACUUAUUUUUUUUAUUUUUUCCUAAUAUAUUUUGUUUAAUAUAUUAUUAAAAUCAUCAGGUUUUUCGAUUAAAUAAUGGUCAAUAAAAAGAUCGAAUCUAUUUUUUUAAAAAAAAGGUGUCAGAAAGCAAUAGUGAUCAACCAGUUCCUUAACCUUCUGUUAUUCGUGAAGAAAAACCAAAUAUUGGAUAUUCCCAAGCUCCUGAAUGAAAUAUUAGGUCUUAUCAAGCCCAAACUUUUGAAUGCGAUAUGGAGUCUUCCCCAGUUCUUAAACUAGAUUGUUACACUCCUUACCUGAUCCGAUCACCAAAUCCAUGUAGAGAGUACCACAACUUAAACCAUAUGAAUUGAAUAAUAAAUAUUUGAAAUUUAUUAAAGUAUCGAGUUCUUGGUGUAACCCUCAGUAUAAUAAUAUGAAACAAUCAAAUCAAUGAUACGCCAGGAACAAACAUUUUUAGGAAAAACACAUGGCGGAAACCUUACAAAAGUUUAUAAGUUUAUAUGAAAUGUAAGAUGAGUUAAUCCCAUACAAUAGUUUCAAGUGCAUUUUUGGCAGUUAAAACAACACUCUAAAACUAUUUGGUGUAGAUGCCAAUGAGACAAUCAUGUGGAAUAAGAUAUAGUAGCAUAAACACAUACAUCACUUACCAUGUCAUUAUAACAUAUACUAACCACAUAAACAAAUUUCUCGAGCUGCGAACGAACAAGUUUACCCAAACAUCUGGGGUUGGUAGAUAGCUUAUCAGAAAAGCCCUCCAAAUCCUAGAGUUCACCAAAACCUGGAGUUCGCCAAAUAGAGAUUCCCAUAGAAUACGCCAAACACACAACCAAAAAACAAAUACUCUACUAACUUACUUAUUUUUUAUUCUUAGCAUAAACAACUAUGCGCCAAAAAGUAACUUGAUACAUUAUCCAUCAGGCGGGUUGUUACAAUUCUCCCUCACUUAGAAAAUUUUGUCCUCAAAAUUCUUAACGGUGAAUAACUGAGGAUAUUGUUCUUUUAUUGAACUCUCUCUUUCCCAAGUGGAUUCUUUUUUAUUGUGAUUUCUCCAUAAUACAUUAACAAAAGGAAUUCUUUUUCUUCUCAACUUUUUUACCUCCCUUGCUAAUGCGAACAGGUUCUUCUUCAUAGGAUAUGUUUGGCUCCUUUUCUAAUGCUUUGACUUGUACCACAUGAUCUGGUUUGGAUUGAUAUUUUCUUAACACGAACACAUUAAUCACAUUGUGUAUCUUUGAUAACUCUAGUGGCAACACCAAUCUGUAUGCCACUGGACCAACCAGUUCCAAAAUCUCAUAUGGUCCUACGAAAUGCAGACUUAAUUUCCCUUUUUAUUCUAACCUUAUGAUAUUCUUCCAAAGAGAAAACUUCAUAAAUACAUUGUCACCCACUUCGAAAGAGAUUUCUUUCCUUUUUAGAUCAACAUAAGCUUUCUGACGAUCUUAAGUUACUUUCAGAUGAUUUCAAAUAAUAGAGACUUUCUCUUCUGUUUCUUGUACUAAAUCAAAACCAACUAUUUUCCUUUCACUGAGUUCCAUCCAACAGGUGGGAGAUCUACGCUUUCUUCCAUACAAAGCUUCAAAUGGUGAUAUUUCUAGAUUGGCGUGAUGACUAUAAUUAUACACAAACUUUGGCAAAGAAAGAUAUCUUUCUCAAUUCAUUCUGAAAUCUAUAAUACAACUUCUGAGCAUGUCUUCCAAAACUUGAAUUACUCUUUCAAAUUGUUCACCUGAUUAGGGAUGAAAGGCAGUACUGAAUCAUAUCUUGGUUCCUAACGAUUCUUGUUGUUGUCUUCAAAAUCUUGAUGUAAACAUUAGGUCUCGAUCUAAAACUACGGAUGUUGGAAUCCCAUGAAGACAUACAACUUCAGAAACGCAGAGCUUAGCCAACUUUUCCAAUGAGUAAUUUGUGCGGGCAAACAAGAAAUAGACUGACUUAGUAAGUCGAUCUACAAUUGCGCAAACUGAAUUCUUCUUUGAAAGGCUGAAAGGGAGAGCCAAAACAAAAUCCAUGGUGAUGUUAUCCCACUUCCACUUAGGUAUCUCUAAAGGGUACAACUUGCCUAAGGGAACCUGAUGUUCUGUUUUAAUCCGCUGACAUGUCAAAGAAAUGGAGAUGUACUCUGUUAUUUCUUUCUUCAUUCCAGGUCACCAAUACAAACUUCUCAAAUUACGAUACAUUUUAUGUAAUGCUCUCAACCCGACUCGAUAUGUCGAGUUUGGAUCUCGGGUAUUACUAUACACAGUACUUAGUAAAAUAUCAAAAUAGCUGACAAAUACUCUUUACUAAAAACAUUUUCUUAUUAUUUUAACCGAAAGAGUAAAUAUUUAAUAACAAGGGUAAAUAUUAGAAAUAAAAUAAAUUAUUACAUCAGACUUGGUACAACUGAUUAUAGUAUAAAAUUUUGUUAAAGACAGACUCUUGGGGAAUAACCCUAAUCUAUGCCACUUUUCCACUAUAUACAUAAUAACCCACUUCAGCACUAUCUUGGCAUACUCCUAGCAUCGUCACUCCUAACGCAUUCUCUACCCAUACACCUAAAAACAACAACAUUAUAAGCUCAAGAGAACUUAGUGAAUUUUAUCCCAAAAAUACCUUGGCGAGUACUUUAAUUAUUUGACUAACAUCUGUGCGCCAUCUAUCUUUUUAAACCACCUUCUUCUGAAUCAGACGGAUACUAUUACAGAUUCGACUUUCACUUAUACGCCAGCUAUCAUACUCUUAACACACUCACUUAUUCUAGAACAGUUUUUCACAUAUAUUAAUCAUUGACAGAUACAUACAUUUUUGGUGAAUACUUACGCAGAUCUAAAUACCAUCAAACUACUAAUCAAAUCAUACAUUGAUUCGAUACCAUACAAACUCCCAUUGAUAAUGUACUACACAAUUUAUUCAAAUGAAUUUUCCACUACUUUGUUACAGGACCCCAGAAAAUCAUCAUAACAAUAACUCAAUUUCCAUAUGAUUUCAAAAAAGGAUAUAAUACAACCCAAAUAUGGCGAAUUCCAGACAACUCAGAUUCAACAACUGUAUAACAUAGACAAAAUCACAUUGAUAAUUUCUUAUGUCCCAAAUAACUAUGAAUACGUCCAUAUUCAAUACUAACAGAUAAUCAUGACGGAUACCCUUCUUAUACAUAUAUGCAUUUCUUUUCUAAAAAUCUCUUAAGACUUACUCAGUUAUAUCACAGAUCUUAUUCAACCUUUAACUUCAGACGUAUCAUAAACCUAUCAGAUCAAUAUCUGUCACAAAGAAAUUGGCAUUUACCCAGAUUUUACAAUAAAGGCAGAUAAUCAUAUUAUAGUAGACAAACUUAACUGAAAGUGCUACAAAGGCCAAACAAAAUAUGCCAUAAAGGCUUCAUACAAAAUCAUGUGUUUACUAUCUCGACGGAUGAUACAUGAUAUUCGUGACAGGUUUUAAAAAUUUAUAAUUAAUCGUUCUUUAAAUUAACUAUUAUCACGAUGAAGGCAAGUGUACCUCUCGAACAGUAAUAUAGCUUUAGCAAGACCGGAUGGUCGAACCCAAAGGAACCAAGAGUACUAGUAAUUGCUUUCUUUUUAUUAUCUAGCCUAAAAAUUAAGGGAUUUAUUUAUCUAAUUAAUUAACUAAACUAAGGGUGCACAGAAAGAAAAUUGGGGAAAAGCUUUUGGGAAAACUCGAUUGAUUAAGACAAUACCCAAGAAAAAAUCCACCUAGACUUCACUUAUUAUUUGACUCUAAAUCAGACGAUUUAUUCAUUUGACUUGAUCCGUAGAAAUCCCUAAGUUAUAUUAUUAUCUCUCUUGAGACUAAUAACGUCUAACCCUAGGCUGAUAAUUGAAAUCUCUUUCUAAUUAACACUCUAGUGUUGCAUUAACUCGAUCUAUGGACUCCCUUAUUAGGUUUCACCCUAAUCCAGUAAAAUCUUGUCACCCUAUCUCUAGGCGUGCAAUCAACUCCGCUUAAUUAUGAAAAAUUUACUCUUAGAUAAGGACUUUUGCUCCUCUAAAUAAGCACAUUAACUUGAAUCAAUAUCUUGGAAUACUAAAACAAGAAUUAAGAACACAUAAUUAAGAACAAGUCAAAUAUUUAUCAUACAAUUCAGAAAAUAAUAACAAGAUCCGUCUUAGGUUUCAUUCCCCUUAGGUAUUUUGAGGUUUUAGUUCAUAAUUAUGAAAGAAAACAUCUCAAAAGAAUAAUGAUAACAAAACAUAAAGAAAACCCAAAACUCCUGAAGGAAAUUGAAGGGAGAUCCUCAGUCUUGACGAUGAAUCCGGCUUUUGAAAUGGAUCAAUCGGCUUUCCUUGAGUAAUUCAUUGCCUCCUACUCCCUAUGUAUCUUCUAAGUGCCUCCUCAGGUGUUUAAAUAGGCUUUAUAAUGUCUAAAAGCCCUCAAGAGUGGCCUUUUCUGAAUAGGACUGAACUUGGGCUCGAUAGGGACACGCCCGUGUGACACGCUCGUGUGCAAUUGCUUCAGACCGUAGUCAAGGCUACUAAAUAGGCAUGGGCGUGUGGUCUACCCGUGUGAGGAAGUCCAGGCCGUGUUGAUUUCUGAUGUUGGUCCAUUUUCUUCAUUUUCAGCCCGUUUCUCGCUCUUUUUACUCUCUUAUGCUCACCAAAGUAUAAAACAUGAAAUUAAAGGAUUAGGAGCAUCGAAUUCACCAAAUCUAAGGAGAAUUCAUCCAAAAAUAUGCUAAGCAUGAGGUAAAAAUAUGUAUAAAUUAUGGUUUAUUAAAUACCCCCACACUUAAGCGUUUGCUUGUCCUCUAGCAAAAUCCUCAACUCAAAAUCAAAAUAAAUUCUUCUUAACUUGUAACCCCUAUCAAUAAUAUCUCAAAAUAAACCAUAAGUAAUCAUGUAUUGAGAAUUCAACUAGAAAAGCAUUAAAGUCUCAAACAUUCCAAGUCGAGCAUUUUAUCACGAAAACAUAGGUGUUUCCCCUCAUCUAAGUGAUUACCUUUGAUUCAAAAUAUCACAAAGUUUUAACAUCCUCACUAAAGAUUCACUCAAAUCACUCGAGGUGUUUAAGGAUAAUAAAUGAAGCACUCAUUAGUCAAUAUGAAAAGUUAUUACCAAAGGCUUGUAUGAAAGUCAAAUCUCCACCACUAUAAAUUGAGAUGAUACAUCAAUCAAAAGGUCUUUAGAGGGUUGUAAAGUGGCUUUUGUUAGGGGGUGUAGUCACAAGCUGAAAGAAAGGUUAGAAUCAAGAUUGAAUUGAAAAAUUACCUAACUAGAAAAAUAACUAGUCAUUACUUGAAUACAUGUAAACUUCUUCUCAAAAUAUGAAAUUGAACACUUAAGCUCGAAAACAACGAAUUACUACUAAUAUAUGUAUGUAUUAUAAUUUUUUUUAAGAACAAGUCAAAUAAUAUAGGUUAAUUAUCAAAAAUAAAACAUAGCUAAGUAAUUUAUUCAAAUUAAAUCUCGACAAAAAUUGGGAUCAACUUGAUUGAGGGGAUUUCAACAGUAAUAGGUUAUAGGUUAAUAUUGAGGGUAAAUCAAUGGAUAGUUUGUUAGGCUCAAAGGGGUUCACUAAGGACAAAUUAUGAAGGUAGGCUUUUGUGGAGUGAGUGGGUUAAACCUAAGUGCCUUUAUCAUCUCGACAUAUUAAAUCAAAUGGUGUGGUCUUGACAUGCAUAAUCAAGCAAGUUCUAGAAUAACAAAUCAAUACUGACGCACUCAUAAUAAAAGUGAGCAUGAAAGAAAUAAAAUAUGAUCUAAAAGCUUAAAAUCUCACAAAAAAUUAUGGCUUUUUGAUGUUGAACCUGUGAAUUUCAACUCAAGAUAAUACCUAAACUUGGGGAAACAACCUAAAAAUUUUAAAUACUCAAAAAUCAACUUAUCAUGUCUGAUUUUCUAAUUCCUUCAAAGUUUAAACGGUCAAUGCAUAAAUACCUAUGUUUUAAUUCAAGACAUAUCAAUAAAAAUCAUAAAUUAAUCAAAAUUCAUUCUAAUAAUGAUAUGAGAAGAUUAUUUGAGAACAAGACAAAAUUUAAGGAUUUUUUUGAUAAUGAUAUAAAGGCCCCCCACACUUAAGAUGUACAUUGCCCUCAAUGUACAAAGUUAGAUUUACAACGAUAUAGAUAUAAGAUCAUAAGAUAGGGAGAGAAGUGAAACUUCCUGAAUAAUGAAUGAACUCCUUGAAUUGGAGUUAUGGAGAAUAAUCGGCAAAGGCAAUGAUAAGAUUGGAGGAGGAUACUUCGGUGGUGGUAGAGGUUGGGUUCCACAACCUCAGUGUCCAGCGAAGAAGUUAUCGUGGUGGUCGAGCAAGACAUUACAGUUAUGGAGAACCUUUUCCAGUGGAGUUUCAAGUUUCUAAGUGAUGGUGAGCUUUGGGGCUCUUAGUAACUGUGAUAAAAUCAAGAACUCUUUAAGAAAUGUAAGGAAGCAUAAUUACACGUAAUGAAAUAGCUGAAACUAUAAAUUAUUCAAUAAAAAUUAUAAAACCUAAAAAUGAAAUAAUAUUAAAGGAAAAUAAAAUAAAAAGUACUUAAAAAUGUAAAUAAAAAUAAAAUAUAAAAAGUUUUUAAACAUCGUCAUCGCUGGAUGGUUCGCAAGGUGGUGGUGGUGAUGAGAUGUGAAGGUGCUGACAAAUCUGAUGUAGAGUAGCAUCAAUGUUAUCAAAGCGCUGAAAACACUAUUGCUCAAAUCAAUAAGGCACUCAGAGAUGUCAGAGUAUGAAAUCGCCGCAUGAACUGGACGAUAGAUGGGUUGUGGCUGAAAUGGUGGGUCCUCAUGACGUGGAGGGACAUCAUUAGUAAUUCCUCCGGGUCCUCCUCCUCGGCUGACUGGAUGAGGCGGUACUGAGCAGAAUCGAUUCCAUGUCAUUUCUCGAUCAUCCUCAUAUGUAGCAUGCUUGAAAUACCCUGUGGGGACAUCUGGCCGAUGAGAGUGAGCGAGAAUGAUUGUGCCACUGUGUUAAAGAGUCCAAAGUGCCGAAUCAAUCGAGUCACAUAGGGGCCAAUAGAGAUGACUCCCUUCCUAUGCCGUUCCGUCUGAUGGCGAAUGGCGAAGGCAAUGAAAUAGGCGAGGUCGAAGAUGUGCCCAUUCGCCAUGCUCCAUAAAAAGUAGGCAUCGUGAGUGUUGACAAUGCCGGUGCUCUCUUGUCUUCCUGUCAGAGUGUGGGCCAAGAGGGCGUGUAGGUACCUCAAGGAUGGAGGGAGAGUUGAUGUUUUGGAACGGUUAGGGUCGUAGGUGGCCGAGGGAGGGACGAGGGCCUCCAGCACUUCGAGUGAGAGUAAUGGAUGUGGCGAUGAAGGAUGUCGAGUUCGUUGUAGUCCAUGAACUCCUCCGUAUACAGCCCUAGUACAAUUUUGAACUCCGGUACGCUCAAUUGGCACACUAAACCACCAAGACGAAACUGGACCGUUGUAGGAUCGUCGAACUCUGUCAUAACGGUUUGGAAGUGAAAGGUCGAAUAGAGUUCCAGUGUGAGCUUAAGGUAUAUCGGCUUGAUGAUCCCAAAGAAGAGCUCCCAUGGAUCAGUCGACAGAAGGGCUCUGACCGCGUCAACCAGUUGGACUUGUUCAAGUGCGGCCCAUUCAAUGCAGCGGCCCACACCUAAGGGUCAGGCCCGAAGUAUCUAAAAGAGUUCUUCCUAAGGUCCUAAGGGAAACUAAAUAAAGGGGUGCCUGAUCUCCACGGUAGGACCCAAGGAUGACACUGCUCAUUUCCUUUUCUUUGAAGCGGGGACAGCGAUUUUCUUACCAUGGUUUGACAUGAUAUCUGCAAUGGCAAGACGAAAAAAAUAAUAAAUAAAAAAGUAAACUUACUCUCCAACAAUAACAUGAAAAAACAUAUGCAAUGCAUGUUAAAACUAAUAGAGAUACUUUAUAGGAGUCAUGUACUAAAGAACAACUACGCUGAAAAAUAACCCAAUCAGAUAUAUUAAGUCAUUACUACGAAUAGGAAUAUGAUAAUAAUGCCUAGUGAAUGAAUGCAUAUGGAAAUGAUGAUAUGGAAAAUAGAAUGAAGUCCAUGGCAACACAAGAAUGGUGGUAUCAUAAUGCAUCAACUAAGAUAGCAAGAAACAAAGAGCAUAAGCAAGGCUAUUAUUAGAACUAUGAAGAUUAACAGUCAAAAUAAAACAAGAAAAAUCGAAUUCAUAAACGAAAUGAAGAGAAAAGAAUGGACAAACGCAAAAGCUUGGUAGAGGGAGGAGCUUGGGCCGUCGUUAGUGGUGUUGUGGUUGGCGCACGGGCGUGGCAGGAAGGCGUGGGCAAGAGUUACGGCGGCUACAGUUAGGGAUUUUGGGGAAGGGGAUGAUGAAUAUAAGGGGUUUAUUCAACUCGUGUUUAUCGCGAUUUUUAAAUUUGGGCACGUCUGAAAUUCGUCCCACGCCGAUGUCCUUUGGGCGUGUUGGUGCACAUGGCCGUGUCGUACGGUCGUGUCCUACUUCGUUCACUUCUCCCACGCUCGUGUGUAUAAGCACACGCCCGUGUUGUUUGAUCAGUCUUGAGCACGGUUGGUGGGCACGGGCGUGUCGCACACUUGUGCUAAAUUCUCAGUUUCAACCACGAUUUCAAGACACGGGCGUGUCACACGCCCGUGUUGAUUUGAAAGACUCACCCACGGCCACGUUACACAGCCGUGGCAACUUAUCACAUCUCGUGUUAAGCAAAAAUUUUUCCCUGUUUCCACACGGUCGUGUCGCAAGGCCGUGUCUCCUCCCGUAGUGUGAGCACGGCCUAAGGCACACCUGUGUGCCUCACCGUGUGAAUUAGAAAACCAGUAUUUCAAUGACUCAGUUAGUGAUUAGAUGUUAAAAACUAAAAUUUUAAAGAAGGUAACACUAUUAGUGCUCGGGUUACCUCGCGAAAAGCAUUUAUUUAUAGUCUAAGCUCGACUUACCUCUCUGUUGCAUAGUCAUGGUAGUGCAAGGAGUUUACACUCCUCAUCCCUGCUAUCAAUUUUAUCAAAAUAAGGUUUUAGACAAGUACUAUUUACCUUAAACGUACCGAAUUUGGGAUGAAUUACCUCGACUGUGCCGUAUGGGAAAAUACUAAGUACCGUAAGAGGGAUUUCUCCAUUAGGUUCAAAGGUGGCAAUCCGAAGGUCUGCUGCAUCUAAUAGUACUUUGUUUCCAACCUUAAGUUGAGUUGGAGAAAUAUUGAGCUCGUCAUGGCAUGGUUUUUUUUAUCGUGUGAUUUCGAUUUCUGUGUCUGCCAUUCAUCUAGUUCCUCAACCUGUAGCCUUGUUCUUCAUAGAUGGGUUCUUUGUCGUUAUUUGAAUGUGGCUCAAGUGUGUUUCUCGAAUGUGUUUCCUGCACAGAGGGUUUCACCACAUGAUCAGUACUGAUAGAAUUUCGAGCUUGAGGAGUAAUUGAUUCAUCACCCAUACGAAGUGUGAGUUUACUUGUGCCAACAUCAAUUAUAGUUUUAGCAGUUGCUAGAAAGGACCGUCUUAAAAUUAAAGGUGCGUCGCUAUCCUCUUCUAUGUCUAGAACAACAAAAUCAAUUGGGAAAAUAAAUUUAUCGAUUUUUACCAAUACAUCUUCAAUGAUACCCCUGGGAAAUCUAAUAGUUUUAUCAGCUAACUGAAUACUCAUCCUAGUUUGUUUAGGUUUCCCAAUACCUAGUUGUUUAAACAUUUUAUAAGGCAUGAAAUUGAUACUAGCCCCUAAAUCAGCCAAAGCGUUAUUAACAUCUAAGCUACCAAUUAAAUAAGGAAUCGUAAAACUCCUUGGAUCUUUCAAUUUGUUGGCCAUGAUGUCUCGUUGAGAGCACCAAAAAUAUCCUAUUCUCUGUAAAAUAGUAAAAAUAACAGUAAAAGGGAAGUAGGGUCGAAUCCUCAGGGACCGGAUUGUACAAAUGCUCGUUUCUUGAAAUCCUGGACAAUUUCUUGGCCAAGAAAACCUGCGUUCCUGAAAAAUAAAAAAAAUAAAAUUAAGAAUCUGGAAAAAAAAAUAGAAUUUAAAGGGAAUUGAAAUUGCGAAAUUAAAUAAAUUGUCGAAAUUAAAAUGAGGAAAAAUAAAUAGAGUUGGGAAAAGAGAAAGUUUCUUAUGUGGCGAGAUUCCAGGCUCCGGUUGUCUCGUUCCGCCUUGGGUUCAAUCCUUGGCCUUUAAGUAACCCUUCCCAACUCAAGUAAGCCAGUUAUAGUGGAAGAGGAUGCCUACGACCACCAGCUCCAAAGAUUAGACUUACGAUUUUUAGGGAACCUGACUCUAACCAGUAAUCUAUGCUAGAUCAACGCUUCUCAAUGGCGAAUCCCAAGUCAUUUUGUCUCUUUGGCUCGCCAACCUUUGACGCAGUAAAUUAACAAACCGACUGUGCAAUCCUUUCAAAACAUACAAAGCGGUCGCCUUUGCAUAUGCUGAAAAGCUUACUUCUUAAGGGCCAUGGACGGAAGCGUCAGCCCGUAGUGCGGAGAAACGAUGAAUACUUGGCGAGAAGGCUAAGUACGGGUUCUAGGCCUCAAAAACCCUUUUUUGGGGAAUAUUGACAACCUUCAGCUAGAUAGGUUUUAAUGGCUCAUGAUAAUGGUGGAAAAGGAAAUAAAUAUAAAAAUAGAAAAUAAAAUUUUAUUCAAAGAAAAUAUGAAGAAACAAAAGCCUAGACUUUUAGGGGGAGAGUGUUUAUAGAAAAAGAUGAACACCCCAAAUAGAGUCACUUCACCCCCUAUUUAUAGUGCUAGGGAGAUAAUCUAAUUUAACUUAAAUUCUAAAAAGAUAAAUACAUUUAAUUAAAGAUAAUUAAAAUAAAAUCCUAAAAUUAAAUAAUCCUAAUAAUUAUCUUAAUAAUAAUUAUUCUAAUAUAAAUAAAAUGGAGUCUUAUAAAAUAAAAUCUCUUCUUUUUGAGUUUUCAGUCCUUGUGUCAUCCAUGCUCGCACUUUUGGAACAAUCUUUUUCCUGUGUCGCAUAUCAGCCCAUUGUGUCUCCAAAUUCGCACUUUUGUCCCUUAAUUUUUCUUUUUGCCUCCAAAUCAGUCCUUUAAAGAUAAAAAGACAUAAAUAGCUAAAAUUAGUAUGAUCAAGCUCAGAAUAAAUAUAUAAUUAGCACAUAAAAACAUGACAUUCUAGAGUGUUAUCAGGCCAGCUUAUUUUGCAGAAUGGCUGAGCAAACUGCAUUCAUCUCCACAUGCGAUGCCUCAUCUAACUUCCGUUUAUUCGCUAAAAGCUCCUUUAAAAAUUUGACUGUGUUCAGCAUCUACGAAAAAGCUUCAAUAAACGGUAAGUUAAUAUGUAAUUUCUUUAAAAUUUUAAGGAAUUUACCGAAUUGUUCGUCUGAGUGGUCUUUCCUUGUCGUAUUUGGGUAUAGUACACGUGGUUUGUACUCUUUACUUACCUGUUUUUGCUCAUUAUGGUCCACCUUACCUCUACCUUUACUUACCACAAUUUCUUGCCUUAGUUCUGGUUGAGGUGCAACUAACCCUUCCUCAUCUUGAAUGGUAAUCGCAUUGAGCUAUUCCCUUGGAUUAGAUUUAGUGUUACUCAACAGGCUACCUUGUGGUCGUUCAGAUACCAAUUUAGCAAGCUGGCUUAUCUGAGUUUUGAGCCCUUGAAUCGACACUUGUUGAUUCUUAAGUGCUUUCUUGGUAUUCUAAAAACAAGUUUCUAACACUGAGAUGAAUUUUGUUAGCAUCUCCUCAAGGUUCAGCUUUUUCUCUUGUUGGUAAGGUGGUUGUUGGAAGCCUGGAGGUGGUGGGGGUCUCUGAUUUCCUUGGCCUCCCCAUGAAAAAUUUGGAUGGUUCCUCCAACCUGCAUUUUAAGUGUUACUAUAAGGAUUAUUUUAAGAUCGAGGAUUAUUACCCAUGUAAUUCAACUGCUCAUUUUCCAUACUGUGGCCAUAAGGUGGGUAUUCUGAAUUGCUUGAUCCACCUCUACUUGCUUCGCACUGCAUUACUAGGUGAACCUGUGAAUAACCAAAUAACCCGUCAAUUUUCUUAUUUAAUAGUUCUACCUGACUAGAGAGCAUCAUGACUAAAUCAACGUUAAAAACGUCAGUUGUUUUAGUCGGCUUUGUCCUCAUUACUUGCCACUGAUAAUUAUUCAGUGAGAUCUCUUCUAUAAAUUCAUAAGCAUCUUCAGAUGUCCUAUUAUUGAUAGUCCCACCAGCGGAUGCAUCGAUAAGUUGCCUUGUUGAGGGGUUUACACCGUUGUAAAACGUCUGAACUUGCUGCCAUAGAGGCAACCCAUGAUGAGGGCACCUUCUCAACAGAUCUUUGUAUCUCUCCCAUGCAUCAUAAAGCGUUUUUAGAUUCAUCUGCAUAAAAGAAGAGAUAUCACUACGUAAUUUAGUCAUUUUAGCCGACGGAAAAUAUUUUAAUAAGAAUUUUUUAUUGUCAUUUGUUCCCAAGUAGUGAUUGACACUCGUGGUAACGAGUUCAACCACUGUUUAGAUUUGUUCCUCAAUGAAAAGGGAAAUAACCGAAGACGAAUGGAAUCAUCAGAAAUGCCAUUAAUUUUAAAUGUGUCGCAAAACUCUAGAAAAUUUGCCAAGUGAUUGUUCCUCAUCCUGCAAACUAUCAAACUAAACAAAUUGUUGUAUCAUUUGAAUUGUGUUAGGUUUUAGUUCAAAAUUAUUUGCAGCAACAGCUGGCCUAACUAUACUUGACUCAGUUCCUCUUAAAGUAGGUUUAGCAUAAUCAUACAUAGUACGCGGAGUAGGAUUCUGAUUAGCAGCAAUCGCAAGAGGUAGCGGAUUUUCCUGAUUUUCAGUCAUCUCCUCAGUUGUGGUGGAAAUAUCGUCCUCUUGCUCUUUCUCUGUGUAUCUUAGGCUUUGCCUUAUUUCUCUUCGAUUUCUGUGAGCUGUGCGAUCGAUCUCACUAUCAAAAAGUAAUGGUCCUGACGGGUUUCUUCUAGUCAUGCACUAUAAAAACUUGCCAUAAGCGAAUAAACGAAAAAUAAGAAUAAGAAAAUAAAAUAAAAAUUCAAAUUGCAACAAAAGUAAAAUGGCUAAAGUAAUAAAAAUUGAGUGUUCCUAAUAUCUUCGUUCCCCGGCAACAGCGCCAAAAACUUGAUACGUGAUAUUCGCGACAGGUUUUAAAAAUUUAUAAUUAAUCAUUCUUGAAACUAACUAUUAUCACGAUGAAGCCAAAUGUACCUAUCGAACAGCAAUAUAGCUUUAGCAAGACCGGAUUGUCAAACCUAAAGGAACCAAGAGUAUUAGUAAUUGCUUUCUUUUUAUUAUCUAGCCUAAAAAUUAAGGGAUUUGUUUAUCUAACUAAUUAACUAAACUAAGGGUGCACAGAAAGAAAAUUGGGGAAAAGCUUUUGGGAAAACUCAAUUGAUUAAGACAAUACCCAAGGAAAAAUCCACCUAGACUUCACUUGUUAUUUGACUCUGAAUCAGACGAUUUAUUCAUUUGACUUGAUCCGUAGAAAUCCCUAAGUUAUAUUAUUAUCUCUCUCGAGACUGAUAACGUCUAACCCUAGGUUGAUUAAUUGAAAUCUCUUUCUAAUUAACACCCUAGUGUUGCAUUAACUCGAUCUAUGGACUCCCUUAUUAGGUUUCACCCUAAUCCGGCAAAAUCUUGUCACCCUAUCUCUAAGCGUGCAAUCAACUCCGCUUAAUUAUGAAAAAUUUACUCUUAGACAGGGACUUUUGCUCCUCUGAAUAAGGGCAUUAACUUGAAUCAAUAUCUUGGAAGAUUAAACCAAGAAUUAAGAACACAUAAUUAAGAAUAAGUCAAAUAUUUAUCAUACAAUUCAGAUAAUAAUAACAAGAUCCGUCUUAGGUUUCAUUCCCCUUAGGUAUUUAGGGGUUUUAGUUCAUAAUUAUGAAAGAAAACAUCUCAAAAGAAAAAUGAUAACAAAAUAUAAAGAAAACCCAAAACUCCUGAAGGAAAUUGAAGGAGAUCCUCAGUCUUGACGAAUAAUCCAGAUUUUGAGAUGGAUCAAUUGGCUUUGCUUGAGUAAUUCAUUGCCUCCUACUCCCUGUGUGUCUUCUAAGUGCCUCCCCAGGUGUUUAAAUAGGCUUUAGAAUGCCUAAAAGCCCUCAAGAGUGGCCUUUUUCGAAUAAUACUGAACUUGGGCUCGACAGGGACACGCUUGUGUGACACGCCCGUGUGCGAUUGCUUCAGACCAUGGUCAAGGCUGUUAAAUAGGCACGGGCGUAUGGUCUAUCUGUGUGAGGAAGUCCAGGCCUUGUUAAUUUCCCAUGUUGGUCUAUUUUCUUCGUUUUCGGCCCAUUUCUUAUGCUCACCUAAGUAUAAAACAUGAAAUUAAAGGAUUAGGAGUAUCGAAUUCACCAAAUCUAAUGAUAAUUCAUCCAAAAAUAUGCUAAGCAUGAGGUAAGAAUAUGUAUAAAUUAUGGUUUAUCAAUGGACUAUCACAGAAGGUGUCAUAGGUUUCUCCAACAUGGGCUUAUACAUAAUUUCAUGUAUUGUGAUCUGCCAUUUCAAAUUAUACAUUAUCGAAGGCUACACCAUAAGCAUAUAUACAGACAUAUCUUGCAAUGGGUCUUAGCCAUAUAGCUUACACACACAUUCAUGUAUUGUAAUCUGCCAAUCCAAUCUUCAUCUUAUUAGAGGCUACACCAUGAGUGUUUCCAAAUCAAAGUAAGAUGUCAUGGGUCUCAACCUUAUAGUUUAUUCUUGUUUUCGUAUCGUGAUCUGCCAGUCUAGUUAGCAAUAUAACUGCCCUACCAGAGGCAUCAUAGAGGAAAAUUUGCUCAGCAUUUACUUCCCUAGAUGAUCACCUUUUUACUAGCUCAUACAUCUCCUACAUCAGACCUUACCUGCAUGCUUACCAAACAUUAUUCUUUUUAAUAGAAUUUAUACAUAUCAUCGUAGCACAUCUUUCAUCUUUGCUAAACUCAUAUUUAUACUAAUUUCUGUAGACAUCAUCAUCACAUAUAUAUAUGCUUCUUGUUUGAACAGUUCAUAUCAAAAAGUCAGGAUAGAGACCCACUUAACUCUCAUCUAUUGCAGUUCAAAGUUCUGGACUCAACCACCCUUCUCAAACCAACAGUAAAAACUGCUUACAAAACAUAGAAUCACCAUUAAAACUCAUUUACAUACAAAUUACCAUCAUCUUAAUCACUUUUCCGCUGCUAAUUAAUAAAUAAAUGUUGAGUAGUAAAUAAAUAAAAAAUUAACUAAGUUUUCAAAAAAAAAAAGUCACUGUGAUGAGAAGAAUAAGUUUUCAAAAACAAAAGUCACCGUGAUGAGAAGAAUGUCAAAAUUAAUUGGUUUUUGUUAACUCAUAUGUUUUUCUAAAAAUAGGUUAAGUUUUCUUCUGAAAUAAACAAAUAUUUUGAAAUGAUUGUUUUAUAAACUCCAAUCAUAGGCCAUCUUAGUGGUCGAUGUAAUCUCCCAAAUUCGGUUCUAACAUCUAGGUUGGGUUGGAGAGGUUACAAUAUAUAUAGAAGGAUUCAUCAAUAAUGGAAACUUGAAUACAAGCAAAGAAAGAAAUCAAUCAAUGUGAAUUACUAACAAGUUCAAAAGCAUAUAUUUGGAUUAUAUUUUGUAAAGUACAAGAAUGUCAAGGAAUUAGACAUUUUGUUUUGAUAGUGAUUAUAUUUUAUAUAUAUUUACUUUUAUGCACUUUCAUAUUGAGUUGAUCAACAGUUUUGAAACUUUAUAGAAAACUUCAAGGUAUCACUUGUUGCGUAAGUGAUAUUUUACUAAGGGUGCAUAAUUGGAGGCCUCCUAGAUAUGUGAAAAUAAUGUUUAAAAAUCCAUCAAAUAGUAAAAACAUAAAUGAAAUAGCAUAUUGAUAUAUAUGGUAUCUUGAGUGUUGAAUUAAACAUUCUUUAGUAAAAGAAUGUACAUUUUGCACAUUGUGGGUGUGUUGGUUUCUUAUAUAUCAAUUAAGCACAAAUUAAAGAAAAAUAAUAUAUAUCACCAUAGUGUUGUAAUAUUUUGUAAAAUUUGUAAAAUUAUAUAAGCAAAAAAGUUUACCUAUCUCGUUAAAUAAAACUCAUUGAGUUGGUUCUUAAUAUUGAAGAAUUAGAGUGGUUGACUUCUUUAUUCAUUUUAUCCAACUACAAGUUGGAUUAAAGUUGUGGAAAUAGAAUGGUUGAAAAUUUGUGUUAAUGAGAAUUAAAGUUGUGGCCACAACUGAUGCCGACUAUUUUCUAGAAACAGGGACUGAUGUCCAAAACAUGUAGUAAAAUAAAAUUUUAGACAUGUUAGCAUAUGAAUUUAUUAUAUUAUAGAUUCAAUGUAACACCCCUAUCCUAUCUCUGUUGCUGGAUUAGGAUUUCAGACUAUUACUAAGAAAAAUAGAACAUUUAACUUUCCAACAGAAACAAUUAUACAAUUAAAUACCAACAUAUAUCAAUUAAAUCUAAUCAUGGCAAAUAUUACACUUAUAGACCUUGAAUCGAGCCUAUGGAGCCCUAGAAAAAAUUUAGGAACAAUUUGGGAUCAAAUCGAAACAAAUCAAAACAUUUUGAAAAAAAUAUAAAAAUUUGGGAAAACAGGGGUCACACGGUUGUAUGGCCAAGUCGUGUGACAAAGCCUACACCGCGUAAACAUUAGAAGUCAAAACACUCAACUGUGUCCCAGCCUGUGUGUCUACUCAUGUGUAUAAUCGAAAUAGGGUCACACAGCUGUGCUGCAGACUGUAAACCGUGUGUGUAUUCGAAGUUAGGUCACACGACCAUGUGACCGACCGUGCCACAAACUGUUUUGAGACACACGGUCGUGUCACAGACCAUGUGAAAUAUGCACCUAAAAUAAUAAAUAUACACGACCAUGUGUGGUGACUAUGUGUGGCACAUGGUCGUGUGGUAGCUUGUGUCUCAGGCUGUGUGCUCCAUUUUUAACCCCUAAAUUAAGUUAAUCAAGCAUCAUUUCUUGCACAGCAAGACAUACCAUAUCUAACUAAUUUUACAUGGUAAAAAUCACAUUCAGAUCACCAAAUACAUACCAAAAUUUCAUUCAUCCUAUGUCUAACCAAUAUACCAUCAAAAGGCAUCUCAAUCCAUACAUUCAUUCAACUCAAGAACAAAGUUACAAUAAAGGAACAAGUUUUAUCAUUAGUUAACCAUUCAUGCCUAAAACCACCAAUCUAAUUGACGAAAAUAUGGGCAUACUCAACAAGCAACCAUUUCAAAACAUCAUCACCAAAUCUUUAUAUACCAUUUAGGAUCAACUUAAUUAUAUCCAACACAAGUACACAUCCAAAACAAAGCACAUCACUAGAAAUACCAAAAUAACUUAACGAUUUACACAUCAACAAUAAGACACCACAUCCCAAAAUGAAAUACAAAAGCUACCGAGAUGGCUGGAUAGUGUGUGCUCCAAAACAAUUCGUCUAGUCAGUCCAUAAAACGCCAACUCAACCAAUAUAGAUAAACAAAAAAGAUAAGUUCUAAUUCUUGAUAUUCAAAUGCAAGAUCACACCACAUUAGUAUAUAUUUAUUUACAUCAUAAAUGAUACCUUCCAAAAGUCAUAACCAAUUCAUCAUCCAAAAUUUCUCAAUACAACCAUUAACAUUUAUAAAACAAAAACUUCAUAGAAACAUUUAUCAUUUAGUAGUAAUAUAACUAUCCAACAAAAUUGAACAAAUAAAUGAGUUUUAAGUCAUUUGAUGCAUAUCCCGCUGAACUAUAGUAACUAGACUCGGAUACUCAAUGAUGCAUAACAGAGGCACCAAAGUGCAAACAGAGGAAGGAAUAUGCAAUCAAAGGCAUUGAAGUGCAAACAAAUGCACCAAAGUGCAAACCCGUACAAGCGCACAUUAAAACCCUAUUGGCAUACUAAUCGUAUCCUAAUCAUUUACUAUGUUCAAUGGGGCAUUAAGAAUGGGGCAUUAUACUUAAAAUCGCAAUACCAAUAAAUCCAUCAUUUAGAGGCACUUCUUAUUUCCGUACACAUAAUAACAAUAAUUACCAUCAUCAAACAUUCAUUUUAUAUUUGUACUUAAUUACAAAUUUUAAUAAUAUAUAAGUAACUAAUGAAAUUUCCCAUAUAUACCAUUAACUAGAAAAAAAUAAUAUAAUCAUAAAGAGAUACACAUAUACAUAUUAUUACAUUAUGAACUUACCUGCAAUCCACUUCCAAAUAAUAUACAGGGACUACUCCGCAAUUUUUCUCUUUCCUCGAUUAUUGUCUUUUUGACUCGGUUCUUGAUCUAUAUAAUAAUUAAAUUUAAUUUAUUAAAUUUACAUAAUUUAAAAAUCAAUUCAAUGCAUGACACCCUUAUGUUUUCAUUAUUUUCACAUUUUCCUUAAACUUUUACAUUUCUCACAAUUUAGUCCCUAAACCCGAAAUUCCAAAAUUUAACAAAAUUUUACAAUUUUCCAUGCUAGCCGAACUUCUUUCUAAACUAGUACAAUCCCCAAUUAUUUACAAUUCACAAAAUUUCUAUGCAAAUUUUAAUUAUUUACACAUUGAUCAUUAAACUCAAAAUUAACACAAAUUCUUUUACAAAAAUAUCCUAAUCAACAUUCAAAUAUAUACAACUACCAUUAAAAAUCAUGAACACCAAAAUUCCAUUACUAACCAAUCCCUAAAACUUCAACAUUUUUAUAAUUUCAUCCUCAGGUUUAAUAGUUUAAGCUACAACGAGUUCAAAAAAUAUAAAAAUUAUUAAAUAUGUGAGAGAGAAACACUUACAUGCACCAAUUUGCUAACCGAAACUUUAAGCUCAAAAAAUGGAGUUUCUUUUUUUCUUUUUCUUUUUUGGUAGGAGAGAGUUGAGAAGAUGAUGAUACCAUAUUUUAUCUUUUGUUUCUUUUCUUUAAUUAAACUAAUUACCAAAUUAACCUUUUAAUCUGAACUAAAUUAUUAACAUAACAUGACCAUAAUUUUCCAUUAACUAACCAUAAGGUUUAUCUAUCAAUCAAGUCCAUUAUUUUAGUUUUUCUUUAAAAAUCAAGCACAUUUAACUAAUAAAAGCUACUUUAGCAUAUUUUACAAUUUAGUCUUUUUUACUAAAUUAACUAACUAGACAUUAAAAUUUCUUAUCCAAAUUUUAAUACGACUCAAAUAUAACUCUAUAAACAUAAAAUAAACAUAAAAUACUAACUCACUUGUUGGAAUUAUGGUCCUGAAAUAACCAUUUUCGAUACUACUGAAAAAUGGGAUAUUACAUUCAAUCUCUAAUUUAUGCUAAUGAAUGUGAGAGAAUAAUUUUCUUUGUAUAGUAAUACUACAACUAGAAUGUGUUUCGAUCCUAUUCUUAGAAACUGAUAGUAGAAACCCAACUUUUAAUUAGAAACCUCUUGUUUUAAAGUUCAAUGGGUAAAAGCAAGUUAUCGUUAUAUGUCUGUGAUACACUAGUAAAACUCAUUAUAGAAAAAAAAAGUUUAAUGGAAACUAGUGUUAUCCAUUGCGUAUAGAGGAUGAAUUUGAAUACUAUUAAUGAAGUUCAUUGUUUAUUGUUUAAAUGUCUAAAGCAAGGGAAACAUUAAAAGAACUCUACCUAUAUAAACAUAAGAAGUGAUGCCACUUCAACAAGUAAAGGUAGGGUCUCUCUUGUAAAUGUUUAUUAUGAACAAGAUAAGCACAUGAUCAUUUUAGUGCUAAAAGUGAACAACCUCUGAUAGAAAUAUAAAUGAAUAUUAUGUGUAGUGUAUUUCAACUUCUAAUACUAGGAGUUGUGGUUCAAUCUUCGGACACCAACGACUUAUUAGAACUUUGAAAAGCAUCCGCUAAUUGAUGGUUCAUAUUGAGAGAUAUCAUCUUAUAUGCAUAAUAUUUGUUGGAGUGAAUGGCUAUAAAGUAUGGUACCAACAUUUAAACUAAGGGUGAUUGUUAGUAGUUUAUAAUGUUGGCAGUAAAAAUAUUUUAUUAUGUAGAAAAGUCUAAUAACUUAUAAUUAUUGGCCAAAUAAUUGUGUUGUAAAGAGAAUUUUUGUAUGUAAAGUUGUCUUAUAAACUUUAUGUAAAGUUGUGUUGUAAAACAACACAAUUAUAUGAAAAGGUAUCUUAUUAAAAGAUAUAUUCAUAUUAAAGGGUAUCUCAUAAAAGAUACAUCUAUUGGAUGUCUAUAUAAAAGACUUUUCUAUUAGUCAUUUAAAUUGUUUUACUUGGAGUGUUGAGGCCUUUAUUGUAUCUUGAAGGUAUUUUAAAAUCUUAAAGAAAGUGCUCUACAUGCCUCAAAGUCGUUAUAUUUUAUAACAUUAUUUUAUUUUUCUAACUUCUAUUUUCCUAUUAUUUAUUUUUCUAACAGCCAGAAUAUAGAAAAAUUAUUAUGUUUCUAACUAUAUAUUAAAUACGAGUACUACUUGGAAGCCAGCACCCACAAACAUGAUAAAAGUUAAUUUUGAUGAGAGUUUUGACGUGGAAGCAAGAAAUGAGGAAGAGGGUAGUUAUGCAGCAUUGUGAUGGUUUUUUAGUCCGACUACGCAACCAUCCAAUUUAGGGUGCGUUCUACAUUAAGGUGAAAAAGCACUUAAAAAGAACAUUUGGUUUUUACACUUAAAAGUGUGAUGGAAAAAUACUUUUUCAUUCAAAUACAAAAAUUAAGAUAUAAAUGCUUUUGACUUUUAGCUUUUACAUUAGAAUGUGAAAAUUAUCAAAUACUAUUAUUUAUAUUAACUAUUUAAAGUGUAUAUAAAAAUUAGAUUAAUUUAUAUUUUAUAUAUCAUUAUAUUAAAUUAUUUAAAUAUUAUUUAUUAUUAUAUCUUUUAAUAAUUUAUAUAUCAUCUAUUUUACAAAUAAUUUAUAUUAAUUACUUCAAAAAUAUUUGGAACUUAUAUUUCAUGUACCAUUAUAUUAAAUUAUUUAAAUAUUACAUAACUUAAAAUGUCCUUUUCUUUAGACAUGAUAGACUUUUAACGGGAAUUUUUUGUAGUAACGGAGAACACCAAAAACUAAUGAGUACAUUUUUUCAUAGCACUUUUCUACCACUUUUCAACUACAACGGUAAUGGAGAACUAAUCCUUACUAAAGUUACCGAAGCACUAGCUUCCACUGUAGCCAUUGAAAUGGGGCUCCAAUUGGGAUUGCAACACAUUAUUAUUAAAAGAGAUGCUCUCUAAGUGGUUUCGAAGUUGAAGGAAGACAAAGAAGACCUACCAACAAUCGGACCUUGAUAGCAAAGAGUUGAAUACUUGCUAAACAGGUUCAGCAAUGUAGGUUUCAACAAAGAAAGAGGCAUGCUAAUGAGGUGGCACAUCAUCUGGCCAAACAGGGUGCAAUGCCCAAUUUCUGCCCGGGCCUAAUCAAAACAGCCCAAAGCAGAAAGCCCAAUUUUUCUAGACCUAGCCCACAACUAUUUUCAGCACCACCAUGCACCCAUUUUCUCCACCACUCUUCCACUCCAGAACACCCACGAACGGUUUCCCUCCAUGCCAUACAUACCUGCAAAAUAGAUUAAUGACUCAUAGCAGUUGACAGUAGAAAGAAAUAACAACAGGAAACGGUUUUGUACUUGGCUAUAAAGCCUUUGAAUUUUUCAUUGUUUGGUUUUUUUUUCUUUCUUUUUUUUUUCAGAGAGAUUGUACACGAAAUACAUACAAAAAUCAAUAGAAAGCAAUUCAAAGGUGAUUUAUCGCUAUUUAUUGUGUUUUUUUUUUCAAUUGGGUUUACAUACAAGUAUAAAAUAUAAGAGAGAACGAGAGGCUUACCGGAGUUAUAUCGCAUUCACGCCGUCGGUAGGACUAGCUCCGUUGGUCACGAACAGAUUUUGGGAGUGGUUGGGGGCUUGAAAGGAGCCUUUCGGCUGGAGAAUAAAGGGAGAGUGAGGGAGAUGAUAUAAUAUCCAAGGCAUUUAGGGUUUUUUUUUUUAAAUAAAAGUUAAAAAGUUUUCUUUUAAGCACAAUUUUUAAAGCGGGUUUUAGGUGAUAAGAAUGAAACAGCAUGGGGAAGGGAAAGGAAUAGCGUGUUUAACUUGGUCCACGUGCAUUUACCCCUUAAAUGGGUAAUUUUCGUUAUCAGUCCUCCUUACUUGCGUCACCCUUUAUUUGAUCCUAUUCUGUUUCUUUUAUUUUUGCCUUGAAUUUUGCGCACCGUUCCAAUUUAGUCCGAGCAUGAGUGUUGCUUUUUUGGGGUUGGGAACAUUUUCAAUUUUAGCCCUUAUACAUUCACGCGCAUUGCGCUUUGGUCCCUAUUUCAAUUUCAAUGGUUUUUUUAUUUGUUAAUUGUCCCUUUAAUUUUGCUUUUCUUCCAAUUAAGUUUUUAUUUAUUUUUUCCAUAAAAUAAGAAUAUAUUAUUUUAACAUAUAGUUUUGUUCAACAAAAUUCAUAUAUAUUUUUGUAUAUAUUAUUUUAACAAAAUAAGAAUAUAUUGUUUUCUUCAUAUGCAUAUUUAUUUGUUUUUUCUUCCAAAAUAAUUUCAUAUAUCAUUUUGUAUUUAUAUACUUUACUUAUAUUAAGUUUGCUUUAUAUCAUGUAUAUACGUAACUUAUACUAAGUUAUCUUUACUCUAAGUGUACAUUAUUGACUUCCUUUUAUUUUAUGUAAAUAUUUCCUUUUAUUUUAUUUUUUUAUGUAUAUUAUUGAUUUUAUGUUAUUUUAUGCUUGUUUAUUUUCUUCUAAGGACCCUAUUUUAAAUGGUAUAUUUUAUUUAUUUUCGUAUGCUAGUACCUUUGUUUUUUUUAUGUAUAAAUUUUCAUUUCAAGUAUUAUUUAUUUAGAUUGACAAAUACUAUGCUAUGUAUUACUUUUUUUAUAUAUAUACAUUAUGUGUCUUGAAAUAUCGUUUAUAUAUUAUUAUGUCGUACAUUAUUUUUAUUUUUAUUAUUUUUUGACCUAUUCCAGACUGUCAUAUAUGUUACCUUAAGAUUUUUAUACAUUUGUUUGAUUGCAUACUAACGAUUCCAAAUUGCAUUUCUUCUAUAUUAUCUAUAUUAUUUGUUAAAACUUGCCACAUACUUUUAUCUCAUGUACAAAACUAAGCUUGUACACAUGUUAUUGCAUCAUGAUCUUUAAAUUCCAACUCUUUGCCCAACAUCAAUCGUUUUUUAUCCCCAAGCAAACCAAACAAGUAUUUUUAAUUCGGUUUUUAUAACUGUUAAUUUAAAAAUUUCCCAAAACAAAGGCAAUGUUUGAUGUUUGAAAUUUUGGAAAUCGUGCCCUAACGUACUGGGUUUCGAUUUUUCGUUUAUCCAAAAUAAUCAAGUAUCCCCUUUAAAGUUUCGUAUGUGUUUUCUAAACUUCAAAACAAGGCAAUGUUCUAUGUUUUGGAAAUCCGAGAAAUCGUGCCCUAACGUGUUGGAUUUCAAUUUUUCGUUGGACCAAAUGAUCGAGUAUCCUUUUGAAAUUUCAAAUAUAUGAGCUUUUGGAAAUUAAGACUCGGUUGUGGUUUCGAGGGUUUAGAAAGUUAUGUCUUAACGUGCUGGAUGUGAUAUUUUAUUCCUUCAUAACAAAAGAAUUCUUAAUGACCAAUUUGAGUUAUUCAAAUAUUUUAAAAGAAAUAGUAUUUCAAAAUAUCUUUUAAAUUUUAGACAUAAGGACAUUGAUUAAUCAAUUAGGUACCAAUUUUGGGCGUCACGAGGGUGCUAGCCCUUCCUCGUGCGUAACCGACUCCCGAACCCUUUUUUCUCGACUUACGUAGACCUGAAAUUAUUGUUUUAAUAAAUCAAAAUGUUUUAUUAAAAUGAUCAAUUUCAAGGUGAUCCGAUCCCACCUCAGAAGGGAUCGGUGGCGACUCCAAACUUUGAUUUUUCAAAGUCGAUCCCCGUUUUUUUCAAACUUUUAGAAAAUGGUUUCGACACAAGGCCUUAAUUGUUUUCCAUCUUUUGUUCAUAUGUUUGUUUUGAAAAGGUAAAACAAAUCCUCACCUAUUGAUGUUAGAACGGUUGAAUUGCUAAAAGCAUGCUGCGUGCAUAACCAUGCUUUAGGUUAGGCUUCAAAUCAAAUAAAUUUUAAAUUAUUUUUAUUUGAAUUUAAUUAUAAAAAUAUAUUAAUAUCAAUAUAAAAUUAUAUACAAUUUUAAGAUAUUUUAUUUUUCAAUAAUAAAACGAAUCAUCUACCAACCCUAAUUCUUCAGUUUUCUUUUUAAUUAGAUGAUAACUCAAGCCAAGCUAACCAAUAAACACCCAAAAUCUACCAUCAUUUUCAUUUUUUUUUCUUUUGUCACAAAGUAGACAGAAGAUUCGGUUUGGAUAAGCUCUACGUUAUUAAGUCAAAAGCUGAAGUAAUUUUAAUCAUAAAUUGUUUUAUUUGUUUAUAAUGCAAAACAAUGACCCAAUUAAUACAAUAAAGCUUUAACUUUGUGGGAAUUUUCAGUCCAAAAAAAAAAAAACAAUUUGUGGAAAUUUUAGAGCAGUUGACCAUUUCUUCCGAAUUAGUUUUCUCACUUCUUGUCCAUAUUCCAUGUAUAUUAUUUCAAGAAAUUAGGUUUAGAAAAUUGCAUAAUUCAACCAUUGAACUAAUAAAUAUUAAAGAAAAAUUGGGUGGCAAAAAUAUCUUAUUAAAAGCGAAUCAUAUACUAUUAAUAGAUUUUAUGAUUAAAUUAGUUUCACGUGUUAACGGGAUAUUAACUUGAUUUAGUAAAUUAUAAAAAUGUCUUUUAAUGUUUAAAAUAAAUUAUAUUAUUUGAAGAUAUUUUAAUUUUUUUAUUAAAAAAGGAUGAUGUCUCAAAUUAACUCACAAUCUAAUUUAAUUUUUUAUUUUAAUAUCGUAAAUGUUUCAUGUUUUAUUAUUAAUUUGUUUCAAAUUAUACAUUUCAUUAUUUAUUUUAUGUUAUUUUUAAACAUAUUUGUGUUCUAAAUACCAAAUUUUCACUUAAGGGUAUCAGAGACGAAUCUAGAGAGGCUAGUAGGGGCCCCGGUCUCCUUAAAAUGAAAAUUAUUAUUUAAGCCCUUUAGAAAAUUUUAAAAUUUUAAAUUAGUAAAUGUAAAAUUGCACUUUGACCCCCUAAAAUUAUAAAAAUUUAAUUUAAUCUUUUAAAAAUUAUAAAGAUAUAAACUAGUAAAAAUUAAAAUUUCAUUUCGAUCCUCCCUAAAACAUAUUUUUGGCUUCACCUAAAGGGUAUGACUAGUAUGAAUAAUUUUCUUUGGAAGUCUUAAACAAACAGGAGUUAAGUAAAAAGGAGUUUUCAUACAUACAUAUUCGGCGUUGAUGUUUCCCUUUCGAAAAUUUAAAUUAAGACAUAGGAAAAGAAACUAAAAUUGAGCUUAAUUUAUGCAGUUGGGUUCAAAAUUUAAUAUUUAAAUAUAAAAAUUCUAAUAAUUCGAUCUGGUCCGUUUCAUCUAGCAGACUAAUAAUAAAUCUUAAAACAUAUUAUAUUUUAAUUUUAAUAAAACCAAAACUGAUACAUUUGACCUACAUCUACAUGUGAUCUAUGCUUAAUUAAAUUAGUCUAAAUUAGACGAGAUCUUGAUUAGGAGUCAUUUAUUUAUAUUAUAAGUCCCUGAAACAUGCAAAACUUACAUUUAAAAAUUAAUAUUUUUACGUUGUUGUUAGAAUAUAGGGUUUGUUAAUGUUUUCGUGUGAAGUCAGCUGUUGACAUUACCAACCAGAUAAUGAAAAGGGAACAUGGCAAUUAUUCCAUCCUAAUUGUCACACACACACACACACCUAAUUAAGUUAAUCCAAAAAUUACCUAACGUUUAGCAUUUCAAUGGUAGAGUCAGCUCUUUCUUCUAGUCUAUCAAAAAAAAAAAAUCAAUUUAACCCCUAACUCUUGGAUGGAAAAGUUUUUGCUAUGAACUUGUUGAAGUGAAUCUAAUGUGAUAUAAACACAUCACAAUCCAUGUGUGUAAUUAAAAAUAAUAGAGAGAGAUUGAAUAAUUUAAAGGGAAAAAAAAAGAAUUUACUCCCUCCACUAACAGGUAACUCUUGCAGCUUGAAUCUACAACGUAUGUAUGAAAGUGAACACCUUUAAUUAAUGAAUAAAUACUAAAGUUCUAGGUUUAGAAUUAAUUAAAUAUCAAUACAAAAAGUUAAUUACUUUUUGAAAUAAGGAUAAAUCGGUUUUUGAGGUUUGAUAAUUUUUCACAUAUCGAGGUUUGAAUUUUUUUAUCUUAAGUUCUAAACUUGACAAUAGUUCUCAAGAUGUGAAGGUUUUUUUUUUAUCCAAAUUAGGCUAUGAACUUAGAUAGAAAUCUUAAAAUUCAACCCUAAUGUAGGUAUAAUUGUCAAGUUAAAAAAAAUUCAAAUCUUAAUAGAAGAAUAAUCUACUAAUUGGUAACCCUAAUAUAAAAACAAUUGUUAAGUUGAAAACUUAAUUUUUUUUAAAAAUUCAAACCCUUAUUAACUUUAGGAUUUAACCCUUUGAAAUAUUGCGUUAAUUAAUAAGUGUAAGAAUUAUUUUGUGUUAAUGAUUAAAUAAAUAUUUAAGUGGAGAUCAAGUUUUACCUCAUUUGUCAAUUGUCAGGUGAAGAAUAUAUACCCUAAAGGCCUAUCAAAAACGGACCUAUCUCUAUAUAUCUUUACUAAUUUACUAUUCAUUUUUAAUGAAAAGCAAUAAAUUAAUGAAAACGCUAUAAAACGAAAACUACAUGAAUAAAUUAUAUGUGUAAAAUUGAAAUAUUUCGUGACGACAUUAUUGAAAAAAAUAAUCAUUAACCUUAAAUAUAAACAAUUAUGACAUUUCUAUAAAAUAUCAUUUAAUAUAUUGCAUCAAAGUUUUAAAAAAUGUUAUGUGUAUACUUUUACCUCGUAUAAAAAAGUCUUUCAUUUCUCAAUUCUUAUGGCAUAGUAAAUUUAUUAUUAAUUUUUAAAAAAAAUGGUUAUUAUUUGUGUAUUAAAUAAUUAUUGGGAUAAAUUUUAAAGUUGUACAUGGAUUUUGGUUACAUGUUAAUUAUAAACAUUAACUUUGAUUUUAUAUAAUUUUAUAUAUGAAAUUUUAAUUUGAUCCAAUUCUCAUAAAUUAUUAACAUAAUUAUUGAUAUAAUAUCAUUUUAUGUUUAUAUGCUAUAUACAGAAAUAAUUAUAUUUAUUCAAUAUAAAAAUUAAUUGAUGUAUUUAUUUCUUUAAACGUAUAUGAUUGAAUCAAAAUUAAAACAUCAUGUAUACAUUUGAACCAUAACUAAAAUUUUACAUAUAUAAUUAUACAAAAUUACAAUUCAUAUACGUAAUAAACUAAAAUUCAAUUUUUUUAUAAAAUUAACCUAAAAAAUUUAAUUAAUUACAUAAAUGACCCUUUUUUUUAUUAAACACGUAAAUGACCUAAAAUCUACCGUGAAAAUUGGUGGAAGCAAAGAGUUUGGCACCACCAACAUGCCACGUCAGCAACCAAGAUAAAAAAAAUCAACUUUUUGGUAGAGCCAUGCAUAAUAGUGCUACUUGUAUAAAUAUCAGGAAAAUACUAUAAUUUCUAAAAAAUAAGGGACUUUAAUAAAAAAAAAUUCUAUUUUCUGGUGGAGCCAAAUAAAUUGGCGCCACCAGUUUCCAAUGUGAUUUUUUUUAAAGUUUUCUAAAAUUUUAAAUAUAUUAAAAAAUGUUAAGUAUAAUUAAUUUUAAAAGUUUAAUAUAUUUAAAAAUUUAAUAUACUUAAUAUAUAUUUUUAAUAGGUAAAGAAAAAAAUGAUUUUUUAAUAUAUUUAAAAUUUUAAAAAACUUAAAAAAUUUAAAUACUUUAAAAAAUAUUAAGUAUAACUAAUUUUAAAAUUUUAAUAUAUUUAAUAUAUUUUUAAAAUAUUUUUAAAAUUUUUAAUAUAUUUAAAUUUUUUAAAGUUUUUUAAAAUUUUAAAUAUAUUAAAAAAAAUUUCCUCAUUACCUAUUAAAAAUAUAUUAAAUAUAUUAAAAUUUUAACAUAUAUUUUUAAAAUAUAUAUUAAAUAUAUUAAAAUUUUAAAAUUAGUUAUACUUAACAUUUUUUUAAUAUAUUUAAUUUUUUACUAUUUUUUAAAAAUUUUAAAUAUAUUAAGAAAAUAUUUUUUAUAUUUACCUAUUAAAAAUAUAUUUUAAGUAUAUUAAAUUUUUAAAUAUAUUAAACUUUUAAAAAUAAUUAUACUUAACAUUUUUUAAUAUAUUUAAAAUUUUAGAAAACUUUAAAAAAAAUUACAUUUGAAACUGAUUGGCUCCACCAGAAAAUAGAAAAUUUUUAUUAAAGUCCCCCCAUUUUUUAGAAAUUAUAAUAUUUUUUUGAUAUUUAUACAAGUGGCGCCAUUCUACAUGGCUCUAUCAAAAAGUUGAUUUUUUUUAUCCUGGUUGCUGACGUGGCAUAUUGGUGGAGCUAAACUCUUUACCUCCACCAAUUUUCACAGAAAAUUUUAAGUUAUUUAUGUGUUUAAUCAAAAAAAUAGAUCAUUUAUAUAAUUAAUUAAAUUUUUUAAAUUAAUUUUAUAAAAAAAACCCUAAAAUUCAUAUAUAUAACUGUAAGAUUUAUGUCCACAAUUAUCUAAAGCUAAUCGGUGAUAAUUACUAUGGAAAUUCAAUGUACUUAACUAAUUGAUUGAUAGGAACAAGCAUGAUGAAAUCCAUGAUUGGGAAGAGAGAGAAUUCAAAAACUGAACGCCCCAUUAAUCCAUGCGAAUAAACUUUUUCGGUAUACAUCAUAAUUCAUUUAAUUUUAUCAUUAUCUCUAUGCUAUAAUUAUGUUUAAACUAAAAUACUUGAGACAUUAAUAGUUUGUGUUAUAUAAAUUAUGAUAUCCAUAUAUCCAUAUUAUAUAUAUAUUUUUAUAUUAUGAAUGCAUUUAAAAAAAAAUUAUGAAAAAUGUAGAGUCCGCAAAUAAAAAAUGGCUUACAAAUUAACAGAAAACCAAUUUUAUUUCUUGUAAAUUGAUUUACCAUAUUAAAAAGUGUAAAUCUUUUUUUAAAUUUAUUUACGAGUAAUUUUAUUUUUAUAAAAAUUAAUUUUAGCCAAGCCUAAUAUUAUUUUAUUAAUAAUAUUAUUUUUAUUUUUAUUUUUAAACAAUUUAAAAUUAUUAAUAUCAAAUAUUAUAAUGUUGAAUCCUAGUAACAUACAUAUUAAAUUAUUUAUAUUAUGUUAUAUUACAAUUUUAUUUUAAUAAUAAAUUUUAACAACAAUAAUUUUAAAUUUUAAAUCGUAUUUUUAAUAUAUUAUUGAAAAAUAUUUAUAUUAAUAUUUUAAUAAUAAAUAUAUAUUAAAAUUUAUAAAUAUUUAAUAAUAAAUUUUUUAUAGUAUAAAAUAUGAAUAUUUUAAUUAUAUAGAUAUGAGUAUUUGUUUAAAUCAUGCUUAAGUUCAUUUAUCUCCCAACUCUAAUGUGUCAUUAUACACUGUCAUAUAUAUAAUAUAUGUAAUUUAAGCAUUAUUUAUUAUUAAAUUUAUAUAUGAUAUUAAUUAUAAUAAAAUAUUAUCUUAUUAUAAAAGAAAUUCCAAUUGUCAAAAAGAAAUGUUACUCUAAUAUUUUGUAAUAAGUAUAUUUAUAUUGUAUUUGUUUCACUAAUAACAAAUUUAAAAUGAUUUUAGAAAAAAAUAUCAAAAAAUAAAAAAUAUUUUAAUCAAAAUAAUUCAAAUAAAAAAAACUAAACUUUUCCAUGAAAUCAAUCCAAUUUUAAGAAAACAUUAAAAUUGUUUUAGGUGAAACAAAAGGAACCUAUAUUUUAUAUAGUAUUUGAAAAGUUGUUGUAUCUAGAAUUAUUAUCUUUAAUUUUUUUUAGGUCUAUUUCUAAUUUUCAAAAAUUGAGAAGUUAAUUUCUCUAUUUUACUUUAUCAGUCCGUGCUUAUUUUUUAUUAAUUUGUUGUGUAUAAAUGGUUAAACUAUUGAUUUUUGUUAAUUACUAGCAUGUAAAUUGUUAAACUACUUGUUCCCAAGUCAACAGUAAAGCUUAAUAGUAUUAUCAAUUUGGAAUAAUUUCUGAGAUUUUUCUUUUAUUUUGCGUGAUUAAGAUAUUUUUCAUGUACGGUUUAAGGUUUAUGAAGACUAAUCCUUUCGAGUUUAUAACUACCCUUUUUAAUAAUGUCGUCUUUAAAAUUCGAGUUCUCUUUCUUGUAAGUACAAUAUGCCUUACAUUUAUAACUAAUACUUCUUAUUUUUGUAAAAUAUAAGAAUCAAAUUAUGUAGUAAGAUUAAUUUCUAGAUUUUUUAAAUUUAAAAUUUAACAUUUAAAAUAUUAUCAAUCACAUCACACACAAAACCAAAGAGCAAGAGAAUCUAAAAAACACGUGGACCAUUAAUUUAGGAAUGGACAGAAACUCAUGCAAAAUGGUUGGAAAACACGUACAGGAUUAUAUAUACUAAUCAUUUUUAUUAUUAAGCAGAAUUGGAAAUAAAUAAAUACGGGCGAAACCACUGAAUAAUACAGCAUUGAAAUGCAAUUUGUCUACAUCAUUAUUGUUCUUCACUUCAAACGCGGAGACUAGUCUAGGGUCCCAAUCUUUUGCUUUAUCUCUCUAGAUAUAUCCUUUUCAAACUAUCUUUUUGUAGCUUUAUUUGCAUCACAGCAUUAUCUUUUCCUGCAAACAACUGUUUAAAGAUUAAAACAUGCAAAACAUUCUGAAAUAAUGCACCCUGACCAGAUGACAAAAAAAAAAGAGGAUUCUAAUGUAUCUUACCUUGGAUUGGAGCACGGUCAAAGCCGUGGCUUAGUAGUGGUGAGGAGGAGGGGGUGAAGCGUAGACAUAAUGGGGUGGGGGUGGAGGAGGAGACUUGUAUUUGUAAACUGGAGGAGGAGGUGGUGGAGACUUGUACUUGUAAGGGUGCUUGGGGGGUGAUGGUGGGGGUGGUGGGGGUGACUUGUACUUGUAGGGGUGCUUGGGUGGUGACGGUGGGGGUGGGGACUUGUACUUGUAAGGGUGCUUGGGGGGUGAUGGUGGUGGUGGUGGAGGUGACUUGUACUUGUAGGGGUGCUUGGGUGGUGACGGUGGUGGUGGUGGGGGGGACUUGUACUUGUAGGGAUGCUUUGGUGGGGAUGGUGGUGGUGGUGGUGGGGACUUGUACUUGUAGGGAUGCUUAGGUGGGGAUGGUGGUGGUGGUGGAGACUUGUAUUUGUAAGGAUGCUUUGGUGGUGAUGUUGGUGGAGGUGGUGGGGACUUGUACUUGUAAGGGUGCUUGGGUGGUGAUGGAGGUGGAGGUGGUGGAGACUUAUACUUGUAAACUGGAGGUGGUGGGGGUGGAGACUUGUACUUGUAGGGGUGCUUGGGUGAUGAUGGAGGUGGAGGUGGUGGAGACUUAUACUUGUAAACUGGAGGUGGUGGGGGUGGAGACUUGUACUUGUAAGGGUGCUUGGGUGGUGAUGGUGGGGGUGGGGACUUGUACUUGUAGGGGUGUUUAGGUGGUGAUGGUGGUGGUGGUGGUGGGGACUUGUACUUGUAAGGAUGCUUGGGUGGUGAUGGUGGUGGAGGUGGAGGAGACUUGUACUUGUAAGGAUGCUUGGGUGGUGAUGGUGGUGGAGGUGGUGGAGACUUAUACUUGUAAACAGGAGUUGGUGGGGGAGGAGAUUUGUACUUGUAAGGUUUCUUGUGUGGUGGUGGUGGAGGAGAGUAGACCGGAGGAGGCGGUGGGGGAGACUUGUAAUGGUAGGGUGGUGGUGGGUAUUUCUUAGGAGGUGGUGGAGGAGAAGAAUAAGUGUAAUCUGCAGAGGUUUCAAAAGGCAAACUGAGAGAC
rnacentral:lncRNA from 1 species